AGUGGGGUUGUUAGCGGAAUAUAAGAACUCGUCUCUUAACUUUUAACUAAAAAAGUUAAGACCUGGCUCUUAAAACUCUUAUUUAAGAACCAGUUCUUAGUUUUUUUAGUUAAAAGCUAAGAGACGGGUUCUUAUAUUCCGAUAAGAACUCCACCCCAAGAACUCCCAAUAAUCAUGCUCUUAGCUUUAUGUGGGUCUGCCAUUAGGUACAAUCUAACAGAAGGAUUGUAGUAUGAAAAAAAUGCAAUGCAACAGAUAAUUGCUGUCUAAUGUUAGUAUUGUGGUUUAGCGGGACAUAAUGUGAAAUAUAACAAGAGGACUAUAUUAUUAGAGAAAAAAAGAGAGUGCAUGACAAAGAUUACAGUCUAACAAUACAAAUGUGCAAUCUGACAUCACAUGAACAAGAAGUCUGAUAAAAUGAGUUUUGCAUGCCGGUACAAAAUAUGAAAUAUAACAGAUGAUUGUGGCUUGAUAGAACUAACGUGCAUUAUGAUGAAAAGGUUGCAACAUGACAGUACAUGGAAUACAAUAUUACAUGAACAAUGCAGUUUGAUGGUAUGAGAAGCACAUAUUGACGACACAAUAGUGCGGUGAAGUGACUACAAUCUCACGGUAUAAUGAGGUUAUCUGAUGGAAGGGUGAAGGUCUGAGAGAAGUAGAUUUGUAACGAUCCGCUUCCCCGUGUCCGAUCCAAGGUUCAGAGCGCGGUGUUAUAAACAUGACAAAUUAUUUUUAAAAAUUUACUUAAGAAACAAAUUUACUUAAGAAACAUGACAAAUUAUUUUUAAAAAAAAUCUAGGUUAAAUGGAAGAACACUUCAAUUUUGUUUUAGAUGAGAAUUAAUAGAUGUAAUCGAAUACCUUGUAUGAAGAAAUGUGAGAUUUUGACGAAAUUGAUGGAAGAACACUUCGUAAUUUGAUUUGACCCGUCUGAGGAAAAGGAAAAACACUUCGAUUUCGUUGUAUCUUCAGUGAGAUCAAAGAGGAGGAUGACCAAAACGAGAGUAGAGACUACGGGCAGAUGAAACACCAACGAAGAACAAGGCUUCUCUCCGUUUAACCCUAAAUCGCCAUGGAAGAGCCACGAUUAUACGGCGGAGAAGACAAGGAGAAAAAAAAAUCAGGGUUGCGGGAUGACAGUGUCUUCCUUUUUGUUUAUUUUAUUUUUUUGUUAUUUUUUUACUUUUUAAUAUUUUAACAUUAAAAAUCUUUUACGAUAAUUAUAAUUUAUAAUUAUAAUUCAACUUAAUUGGUAAAUUAAGGAUAGUGUAGUAUUUACAGGAAUUAAAAUCCUAUUUUAGUAAAAUAUGUUCUACAGAUCCUAUCGUGACAAAUUCAAGUUCAAAAUGUCAUAAUUUUCUAAUUUCCGCUAAUAAUAAUACAGAAUUACGAGGACUGCACCAUCAUUCUUGCCACAUGUCAUGUAAGUAUCAAAAGAGUAUAAAAGAGAAAAAAAGCUGACAAAAAGUCAAAUAUAUAUUUAUUUUGCAAAUAACACUUUAAUUUUAAAUAAUAGCAGCAUCUUAAAACCGAGGAAUUUCCGCCUACUCUCUCCAUAUCGCCAUCACCGGAAACGCGCCUACUUGGCCGCCCGACUCUCUCUCUCUCUCUUUCCUCAUCGUACGUUUCCCCUCUCUCUUUAAAUUGAGAAAAAUUGAAUCUUUUCUCUCAGAGAACCCACAAGAAAAGUUCGAGCCUUUCCUCAAAAUCUGGUUGGUUCGACUCGUUUAUGCAGAGGAAAAACCUGUUUCUGUGGACACACGUGAGCUGCCAAUUAAUGCCCGUUCUUGUUUUCUUCUCCAAGGUGCGUUUCCUUUGCUUUUUUGGUUUUUUUUUUUGGCGUUUUUCUUUUGCUUCUGUUUUUUUUUCGCAUAAGAGCCCAUUUCCUUCCUUCUUUCUUUCUUCCGUUUUUUUUGCAUUGAUUUUUUUUUUUUGAAUUGUCAUUUUUCAUGGGACCGACAUUGCUCCGACAAGAUUCUCCCAAUCUGGGGUCUUAUUUCUUUAAUCUGAAAAUGUUUUAAUUCAAAUUUUGCUCUCUUAUUUUUCUUGCAGGUGUAUUAGGGAGUAGGGGAGCUGCUGAUCAUCAGCUUAUUUCGUUGUUUCCGGGAGCUGAAGUGAAUCAGAAAAAUGUUCAAUUUUACUCGAGCAAGAAGCCAAGCGAGGCAAAACAGAUCUCUCUCUCUUGGAGGUGUUUAAAUCUCUUCUUUCUUGCUUUUAACUUCUCUCUGAAUGUGGUUAAAUUUUUACUUCUUUUUUCUGAAACUUUAACUUUGUGUGUGUGUGUGUGUGUGUGUUUUGAGAAUUUAGUUUGAAACUUUAGAUUGCUUCCUAAUAAAAUAUGAAGCUUUCUGGGUUAAGGAGCUUCAAAGUGUGGAUCUUUUUGUGAGUAUUUGUCAUGUUUGGCUUGUAUAAUAUUAACAGAGAUCUUGGUGAUUUUUGGGAAUGUAGGACUGGAUUACGCAGACCCCAAGAAGAAAAACAAUUACCUUGGAAAGUUUCUUUUGACCGCUUCUCUCACAGCCUUGUGCAUUUUCAUGCUUAAGCAAUCUCCAACCUUCAAUACUCCCAGUGUGGUACAACUUCUUACUCUCCUUUGCUCAGAGUUCUUUAUUGGUCCUGAUGAAACAUUGCUUGAGUUUCUAAAUGGUUCCUUGAUUCUCUGUGUUUCAGUUUUCUAUACAUGAGCCAGGGGUUACACAUGUUCUAGUCACUGGUGGUGCUGGGUAUAUUGGUUCCCAUGCAGCUCUUAGGCUUCUUAAGGAAUCCUACCGAGUCACCAUUGUGGUAUCUCCUUUGUUCAGUCUUCUUUUACUCUUGUAUAUAUGUUGAUAUCCUGGUCAAAGUAAAAUUUUUUUUUUUUUUUUGGGUUCAACAGGACAAUCUAUCACGUGGGAACCUCGGUGCAGUCAAGGUUUUGCAAGAACUGUUUCCGGAACCCGGAAGGCUUCAGUUUAUUUAUGCUGAUCUUGGAGAUGCAAAGGCUGUCAACAAGAUAUUCUCUGAGAACGCCUUUGACGCUGUGAUGCAUUUCGCUGCUGUUGCAUACGUUGGGGAAAGCACACAGUUCCCUCUUAAGUGAGUAUCACUGACAGCUUCUCCCUUAAGCCAGCAUUUGAUAUUUUCUGUUGUGAAGAUGUGAAAGAAGUGGACUUUAUGUUCUGUUAAUUUACAGGUAUUAUCACAAUAUUACAUCGAACACUUUGGUGGUAUUAGAGACAAUGGCUGCUCAUGGAGUAAAGACUUUGAUAUAUUCAAGCACAUGUGCAACGUAUGGGGAGCCUGAUACUAUGCCAAUUACAGAGGAGACUCCUCAGGUGCCAAUUAAUCCAUAUGGUAAGGCUAAGAAGAUGGCAGAAGACAUCAUUUUGGAUUUCUCGAAAAACUCAAACAUGGCGGUUAUGAUCCUAAGGUUUGUUUUGAGUGAUCUACUCUUUCUCCCUAACUUCUAUCUAGUGGCCUUGUGCAUGUUUUUCGUGAAGCUGACAAACUUCUUUCUCACUUGUCUUUUUUUUUUUUUUUCCAGAUAUUUCAAUGUGAUUGGGUCUGAUCCAGAGGGUAGAUUGGGUGAAGCACCAAGGCCUGAGCUGCGAGAGCAUGGAAGAAUCUCCGGUGCUUGCUUUGAUGCUGCACGUGGCAUCAUGCCUGGUCUCCAGGUAAUCACUUCCUUCAUUUCAUGGAACCUUUUGUCUGAAGUUAAAUUCCGAUUUCCAUGUUUGGAAGAUGGUGUCAGGGUCUUGACAUUUUGUUCUUUGGACAGUCAUCAUUAGUUUAUGUUCCGUCUGAUUCUAAAGUUCGCCUUUUUUUUGGGUGUAAUUCGGAUCUGGCACAUGCUGUAGAACAUGCUCAAGAAUGUUUGCAGCUAAUAGUAGUGUACAGCAGAGCAAAAUACAUAAUUGAGACAACUUAACUCGUUGAGCUUCCUUUAUUAUUAAAGCAAAGUUUAUUUUAUUCUAAUUGUCACAUUCACGUGGCUACAACCUUUGACUAUUCUUUAUUCAUAGAUUUUCUUUUUCUUUUGGUAUAUGGCUAGAUCAAAGGAACAGACUACAAAACCUCCGAUGGAACUUGCGUACGGGAUUACAUUGAUGUUACUGACUUGGUUGAUGCUCAUGUUAAAGCUCUCCAAAAAGCAAAACCCCGCAAAGUUGGAAUCUACAAUGUUGGUACCGGGAAAGGUAUUGUAUUGACUUUGGCUUUUACAUUACUGUUAAAGAAUCGCAUAUAGAUUUAGAGACUGAGCUUUUUAAAUGUCUGGUGUUGAGUAGGUAGCUCGGUGAAAGAGUUUGUUGAGGCGUGCAAGAAAGCCACUGGUGUCGAGAUCAAGAUCGAUUACUUGCCUAGACGCCCAGGUGAUUACGCUGAGGUUUAUAGUGACCCUAGCAAGAUCAGGAAAGAACUUAACUGGACGGCUAAGCACACUAAUCUCAAGGAGAGUCUUGAGACUGCUUGGAGAUGGCAGAAGCUGCACCGUAAUGGCUAUGGCUCAACCUCCUCAUCUGUCUCGGUUUACUAACUUUCUUCAUUCCCUUGCUGACGAAUGGAGAUUUUGAUGGUACUGAGAGGCGUUAGGAGUGUGAUGGUCUAUAUGUUAAAAAUAUAAAAUAAGAUAUUAUAAAAGAGAUUUUGAUUGAUUAGUGUCACGCUGAUAUUCAUUUUGUAAUGGCUUUAGGUUCUGGUAGGAAGCAGCCAUUCAUUAUAUUUAUGUACUACCUUUCUCAUAAUGCUUAUCUAUUUAUUAGUCUUCAUAAUAUAUUAGCUUUUCAUUUUAUUUUCUAAGCUCUGUUAUAGACAUUUUUAGAGCCUUGCGACAUUGUGGCGCACGCUCGCCUUGUGGAUCAAACGCCUUCACAGGAAGAACUUAUAAAUUGUAUCUAGGUUUGAUUCUUUCAAGUUAAAAGCUAUGAUUAAAUAGCAACAAGAACGCAUCCGAUACACCUAAAGCCUCAUUGACAAGUCUCGAGCCUAUUGGAAUCCUCUGAGACUGUUUUAUAAGGCCAAAACGCACUAAGGCGAGCGCCUCUAAGACAUAGCCUCGCCUUAAGAGGACCAAGGUGUUUGGGUCUGCACUUUUGCGCUCGCCUUUUUAAACACAGGCCUCGUCAGUUAUGUUUGGUUUUGGAUUUUAAGGAAUAAGAUCUACUGUUGGAUUUGAAACACAAUGACAACAAAAGCUUUCAGCGAAGAAAUCAAAGAAAAUGCAACAUGUCCAAUGAGGAAAAACAGUUCAUAUACUAGUUUCAAGACAGGGUUGUAAGAAUAAGAUGCUCUUUCUGGUAGACAAUAUAGAAAAUCGAUUCGAGGUGAGAUAAAGACUCAUGCAUGUUUUUAGCUGAACCAUGGAUUUUGAGGUCUUUCAGGCGAAAGAUUGAAGCGCUCUCUCGAAGUUAUCUUCAGCUGAAGCUGCUCGCUUCACAAGUACAUGUUCUGGAUGUGACAGUUUCAGCUGGCUGCAAAAUUUUGAUUGAAAAUGGCGGAAUAAGUCAGCAUAUUGAUACACAAAUUGCAGUAUGACCUGAUCAUUUCAAUAUUAUUAUUACCUUAGGUAGCGUGGAGAUGGUUUCCCCACAUGAAUACUGCACACAACUAAGUUUGCAAGAGUUUCUGGGUCUUUCGCAUCCUACAAUGGUCAAACAAAUAUAUAAUUAUUACUUUUGAUUUGAUGUGUUUGAGCUUGGUUGAGAAAUCGGGUGCAGCAUAACUGGUGACAUGAUACCGAGUAUGAAAGAGUAGGUUCAUCAUCACUCACCUUGUUGAGUGCAUCAAGCAGAAGAGUCUCAGCUUCUUCAAAGUUACCCAUAUGCAUGCAACAAACCGCCUUGCUGUUCAAGAUUAAGCUUGUCAUUGGGUACUUCUCAGAGAAAUCCUGGAAGAUUAGAUAAGCUUCCUGUAUUUUGGAACCCCCCUGAGAUCAUUCAUACAACAAUUUAAUAUUAGAAAAACAUUAACAAUCAUUCUCUACACAAUAUGGAACAGAAGAAAAAGAAAUGUAUAUAUAUAUUCAUGUCAUACUACUGCCAGGUUCAACCAUGCGCUCGCGAGUUGAGUGAGUGUGUGGUCUUCAUCAAACUGUUGCAUCACUCUCAGCUGUUUCUCAGCAUAAUCUGACCUGUGCAUCUUUAUGAAUAUCUGGACAUUCAAAGCGUGCCUAAGAAAGUGCAGAAUACCAAAAUCAAUCAUCAAGUUAAAUCUUAGAGAUAGAACAAUCACUGUAUCAAACAGAAAGCUCACAGGUCCAUGGUUCCUCCAGAAUGAGUGUGCUUGAGAGCCUCACUAUAGUCUUCCUCAUGCAUGAAGAUAGUACCAGCAAUCAACCUAACAGUAGCAUUGCUCCCAGCAGUUGGAUCUGCCAGCCAUUCCCUCAAGCUAGCAAUGGUUGAUUCCUAACCAAAAUCACAUAAACAACUAAGAUGAAUUUUCACAAGCAGAACACGAAGAUAUCUUCAAUUUCGGAUCCCUACAAUCUUAGCGAAGUUAUCAGGUAAUUGCGCUAAGCUAACAUGAUAAUCUCAAAUUCUCAUGCAUUACCUUGUUUUCAGGGCUCGAUAGGUACAUAGCAAGGAGCUUCACUGCCUGAAGAGGAGUAGCCGACGCUUCGUCGAUCUCAUUGAUGACCAGCUACGAAACAAAUUUGAAUCACAACUCAGGAUCGUUACAAAUCGAAAUCGAAUCAGAAAACGAGGGCGUCACAGAGGCGAACCUGGUAGCUACCAAGAGCGAUGUAAGAGCGAUGGACAAGGCAAUCACGCUCCACGAUAUCUUCUUGCGAAAGAUUAGGGAUCUCGCUGUUGUUGAUCGCCGCUUGAUAUGCACCUAGGUAAAAACUGUUUCUCAGGUUGAAGAGGUGAUCUGGUCCUGCCGCCAUGGAUGCCAUUUGCUGCUGCAGGAUCUCAGAUCUGCGUCUAACUCCAAAACAGAGAAAACUGAUAAAAGUGUAAAUAAUCAACUUUAAUCAAUUUUGCAUAAAGACCCCAUACAUUUUGAAUGUUCAAUUGACUGACACCCACUGUGAUUUAUUUUCGGCCCAUUGGUUUCUUGCAAUAUUUAACGGGCUUUUAAGUGGGCCAAUAAUUUCGCAUCAUCACACGUGUCCUACAGAGGGACCGGUGAAGAUCUUUUCUUACCAAUAAAACGCGUUUUAUCCAAUCCCCGCGGGGGUUGCUUGUUCUGCUCCAGCCUGACGUUAGCAUCCCGUUGAAACCACUCCGUGUGAUCGUGCUGUCACGUUUGUGUCGACAAACAAGCCCAACGAUUUAUGGACACGUGCCGUUUAGCGUCCCCAUUAAUGAGCCGGUUACCAUCCGGGAAUAGUAAUCAACCGGUAUCGGUUUUUAUUAGGUAACCAGUCGUUGUGACAGUAACUCAAACGGCGUUUACUGCUCUAAUUGACAAAAACACCCCUCACCCAAAACGUUAUUAGUUCCUAAUCCGUUGGACUCCUCCCUUUGGAGAUCUUUAUUAAUUAAAAAUAAACAAAAAAAUAAUCUUCCUGCAGUUUCCAAGUGAAUGCGUGUAAGCAAGUGUUCGAAUUCGAAUUCGAGCGAGCUGAAUCAAAUCUGUAAGUUUCUAUGAUCCUUUGAUCUUCUGAUUCGAGUUUUUACUUCUUCUCUGGGAUCGUUUUGACUUUUCGUUUUCUUCUCAAAGGUCUUGGCAUCUGGUUUUGAAUUUGAUUUUCGAUGUUUUCCAUAUGAUGAAGGGUUUGAAUCGAUUGAAGGCCCAAUCCAGAAACGAAGAAGUAGAUGUAUGUAUGCGUAUCUAGAUAGAGUGAUUUCGUGUUUCGUUGUUAGACAAGAAGAAUCUGUCAUCAGUUGAUGAAUUUGAUUUACUUUUGAAGCAUUUUUGAAUUUGGAGUUAUUGAGCUCUCCAUUAAUUAAGAAGCGUGGGGGAAUCUGCUUCAGGUUUCAUUAGAGAUGGCGACGGAGUCUACAAGGAGCUGGUUCCAGAUACGGCAGCAGAGACCAAGCCCUGCCAAAAAGGGACAAGAGGGAAAUGUGAAGAAUAGUGGCAGGCCCCCUAUGAAUGAUGCACCUUCAAACGCUACAAAACAGAAAGUUGCUGCGGCAAAGCAGUAUAUUGAGAAUCAUUAUAAAAAUCAGAACAAGAGUCUGCAGGAAAGAAAAGAGCGGUAUGUUCUUAGAAUUCGUUUUGGUUGUUACAAUGGAACCUGAGAGUGAGAGUAAUUAUUUAAUCUAAAGUUGAGAACUUGUUUUCUUUCUUUUUGUACUGAGGCUUGAGAUUAGGUUUAGAUCUCUGGCUUUGUUUCCUAGACAAUUCUUUACAUAAUUACUGGUUUAGAUUGAACCUUCUGAUAUCAGCUCGCUCUUGAAUACAGUCUGAGCAUCUUGGAACAAAACCUAGCGGAGGCUGAUGUUCCUGUUGAAGACAAGAUGGAUAUUCUGAAGAACUUUGAGAAAAAGGAAAUAGAGUACAGGCGUCUGCAAAGACAUAAGAUAGGGGUUGAUGACUUUGACCUUCUCAGCAUCAUUGGCCGGGGUGCUUUCGGAGAGGUAUCUCUUUCUCAUUCCUCACUAGCUAAUAACUUGUCUUCUUUACAUGAUCUAUUAAUAUCUCAUGCAUUAAAAUUAUGGAAUUUUGUUACUGCUUUGUUUUGGGGGGGGGGGUCUCUCCUACUGGAUCUUGGUAACUAGCCUAUUAUUCCGGUCUUAUGAAUCUAAGCCUCCGUUAGUGAACUUAUUGGGUGUAUUGAUGUAAACUAUGUUAUUUCUGAACAGGUGAGGAUUUGUAGAGAGAAAUCUACGGGCAACGUAUAUGCAAUGAAAAAGCUAAAGAAAUCUGAGAUGCUUCGAAGAGGCCAGGUAAUGCACUGUGUGAUACAAUAUCUACAAAUCCCAGAGUUCCGCUGUGAUUCAGUUAGUUACUCAAUGAAAUCUAUUUCCGAUAAAAUACAGGUGGAACAUGUCAAAGCUGAAAGAAAUGUGCUUGCAGAAGUCGAUAGUCCUUUCAUCGUCAAGCUUUGCUACUCCUUCCAAGAUGACGAACAUCUGUAUCUUAUUAUGGAAUACCUCCCUGGAGGUGAUAUGAUGACACUGCUGAUGCGAAAGGAUGUCUUAAGGGAAGAUGAGACUCGGUUUUAUGUUGCACAGACAAUCCUUGCUAUUGAGUCCAUCCAUAAGCAUAAUUACGUUCACAGGUUCUAACAACUGACUUGAAGCUUCUCACUUUUUUUUGCAUCGAAGCUUGACACAUUCGCUAAGACCAGUUUCUUUUGAAUUUUUGUGGAUUAUCUUCUAAUUUUUUAUUCUUCUUGUGAUUACCUUUUCUUGUAAAUUAGCUUUCAGUUGAUGUGUGGAGAUACCCUAACUGUAGUUUCUUCCUUUGAUUGCUUAGGGAUAUAAAGCCUGAUAAUUUAUUGAUAACUCGUAAUGGCCAUAUCAAGCUCUCGGACUUUGGAUUGAGCAAGUCUUUGGAAAGCAAAAAUUUCCCAGAUUUCAAGGCGGAGCUUGUUGAGAGGAAUACAAGGCCUGCAGCAGAAAUUGAUAGACUCUCCAAGCCUCCUUCUGCACCUAAGCGAACUCAGCAAGAACAGCUUUUACAUUGGCAACAAAACAGAAGGACCCUGGUAUGGACGCAAUUCUCUGAUCUCUAUCUUACUUACGGUGGAUGCUGUUCUAUUCCCCUGAAGUUCGUCUGAAAUAUUUCAUAAAAACGAUUCUUUUCCAACUUAAAAUGAAGUAAAAAGGGAAUAUUUUUCCAGUUACUCAAAUUAUAUAACACCGUUGUUUGUAUAUUGUGCCUUAAUCUCCUUGGAAGUGUUAUUAGCUAUAUAUAUGACCUUCCCUUGUAGUCCUUGCAUGAUGACUCUAUCGUGUACUGUUCAGGCUUUUUCUACAGUAGGCACUCCCGAUUACAUUGCCCCUGAGGUGCUGCUGAAGAAAGGAUAUGGAAUGGAGUGUGAUUGGUUAGUGAACCAGACCCUUCUAUUUUAAUGGAAAAAAUGUAUUCAGUUGAUAUUCUAAAAGAUGUUCUGAAAUAGGUGGUCUCUUGGAGCAAUCAUGUUCGAGAUGCUCGUGGGAUUUCCUCCAUUCUAUUCCGAAGAGCCGUUGGCAACAUGUAGAAAGGUAUGCUUAAUUAUCUUUAUGGAACAUUGUUUCGAAGAUUGAUAGAAGAUUUUAUAGUCCUGAUGAUAGACCUUACCUUGGCUUAUCAUCUGACACCAAAAUCAGACUAGUGUCUAUGUAUCGAGACAUGUUUUGGUAACGUAUUUUGUGGGCAUGGCAUGAUCCGAGACUUGUCCCUUAUUAUGUUUGACUAGUGUAUAUUUUUAUAAACAAUUGCUCAGUUCAUCUCUGCAGAUUGUAAACUGGAAAACCUGCUUGAAAUUCCCUGAUGAAGCUAAGCUCUCUGUCGAGGUAAAAGAUCUCAUCCGAAGACUCCUCUGCAAUGUCGAACAGAGGCUCGGAACCAAAGGAGUUCAUGAAAUCAAAGUACUUAAAUCAUCAUUUUCCUUGCUGAGCUUAACUAUGAAAUGAAUAAAACUCUCAGAUGACAUAAUGUUUAAUUUGUUUUUUCCAUUGAAAGGCUCACCCUUGGUUUAAAGGAAUUGAAUGGGAAAGAUUAUACGAGUCAAAUGCCCCAUAUAUACCGAAAGUGAAACAUGAACUUGAUACCCAAAACUUUGAAAAGUUUGAUGAGGUUUGUUCAUUUUUAUCAGUUCCUCGAUUUUUAUUUUGCUUUCCUGUCUUAGCGGAUAAUUUGAUUAAAUUUUAAACUAGCAGGUACCAUCUACUUGCCAAACCUCUGCAAAGUCUGGCCCUUGGAGAAAGGUAUUAUAUAUAUAUUUCCCCUCGUUUUUCUCAUUUGUCCAGAUUCUAUAAUUCUUAAUCUCUAACCAAUUUGUUUGCAAACAUAUUUGCAGAUGAUCUCAUCUAAAGAUGUAAAUUUCGUUGGUUAUACAUUCAAGAACCUUGAGAUUGUUGAUGAACACCAUAUCCCUGGCAUGGGUCAGUAACUCUUUGUUCCUUUCUUACAUUAACGCGUUUUGCAAGACUUUAAAGUUAUUUCGCGGUUGUUGUAACAAAGGCUGAUAAUCAUUCUAAAUUUACGCAGCGGAACUGAAACGGAAGAGUAAGACACCAAGGAAACCAUCUCUCAAGACACUGUUCGGUAAAAAAAAACACAGACUUGCCUAGACUUUAAAACUUUGGUUUUAGCUUUUACUUCUUCGAAAGUUGAAUUUUGGUUUUCUGUUUUUGGCAGAAACACCGUACCCUCCUCCUGAGAAUCAAGCUUUACAGGAUUUGCUAGAUUCACCUAUUUACUCUGACGGGGGAUCUAUAGGCUCAUCUGGAUCACCAUUUUCACAUCCGAAUCAGUCUCACAAUGUUUCCCGGAGAUGAUCAAAAGGGUGAUAGCAAAAGUAAAAGGAAGUAAUUUUCCUUCAGUUGCACAAGUUUUCAUCUUUUCAUUCAUAUAUACCCAUGUAUUGUAAAAAUAGUAAACACCCAAAAGAGAAUUAAACGAAUAUGCAUAUAGAAAACUUUAUAGGUUUGAGUACAAACAUAUUACAAUGUUUCUUAUAGUCCACAGUUGUCUAACCAAUGUAAGUUUUUUUAUAUAUGAAUAUUCACAUACAUAAAAUAAAUUUUUUUGUUCAUAAUAAGGGUGGCUUUGGACUUUUUCUUGAAUUGCACACAAUAUGUUGAGCUGAAAUCGAUUGCCGACCUUAAAGAUGGUAAAAGCGUUGUAUAACAGUAUACACGUUUCCAUCGAAUAUCGCUGUUGCGAUUCGAGCUUUGGAAGUGAUGGAUUUACACUUUUUACCGAAUUUUUAGAACACAUCCAAAACCAGUCAAAUCGUUUCUUUUCAGAUCAACUGUUCACUGCCCUUUUUUCUCGAAUUGUCAAUCCAAAUAAACAGUUUAUCGAUGAUUUUUAGAAAAGAAAAAAAAAGUGAAAGUAAUAGUAAUGUGAUGGAAGAACCAAAGCCAUCUGGAAAAUAAAAAGACCAGUCAGGAACUCAUGUUCUUAAUUUCCACUGAUAUUACCAUGUCGUUCUUCUCUUCACCGUUUAGGUCCAUUUUUUCAGAAUCCGAGAGAUCUGCUUUGAUUUUUUUUACCAAUCAUUUUACAAAUCCAAACUACUCUUUGCCUUUUUGUUUUUUUCUAUAUAUUUUCUAUCUUUGACUUUUGUAGAAUUUUCGGCAUGGCAGGGCGGACCCUGAAAAUUUGGGAACCUAGACCAUUUAGUAAAGAUUUAAAAAAUUUAGGGGCCUAAAAUUAUUUUUUUUUAAAUUUGGAGAUUUAUUUACGUAUAAAAUUUUUCAAAAAAUUUGAGGACAUAAAACGAAUGUUUCAUUAGGCUUUGCCCAGGACCGGCAUGCGAGGGAAACACAAACUAAGCCUACAUCACGAUUGGAUUCUUUUAUGAAUAAUACUAUUAAUAUUUGACUAAAUAUUUUAAAAUUUUGAGAACAUCAUAUCAAAAUUUCUCAUUAAAUAAAUUGGCAUGAGAUUUUAAAUUUUUUGAAAUUCUCUAAUAAAUAUUAUUAUUAUAUUUUUAUAUUUUCAGAAAUGUAACUUGAAAAACUUCAAUACUAAUGCUUUAGCUUACUUUAGCUGCAUGGCUUCCCGAAUAUAACUUUACUUCACAUUCAUAUCACAUCGCAACAGGUCCGUCUAAUAGCACAAGCAAGUAAAACGGUCAAGCAGGAUCCAAAACUAAAAAUAAAAAAAAAAUAUUUAAGAAUUUUUGAAACUAAAUAUAUAAAUUAUGGUCUAAAGUUUUAAACUUUUAAAUAUAUUACUAAAUUUAGAGUUUCUAAUUUCAAAAGAGUCAGAUACAUAAAUAGAACUAUAAUUUUUUUAAAUUAGUGGUUCAAAAACAAAUUAAAAUUAUUUUAUUAUAAUAUACCGUUAAUUUUUUGAACAAGGCCUAUAAAUAAUUUGACACGGCACUGAUCACAAAGGGUACUUAAUACUAAGGCAGCUUAUAGUUUACAAACACAAAGGGUUAAAGCCAACGACCGUUCCUCGCCAAGAUGUUUUUACCAAUCAUUUUACAAAUCCAAACUACUCUUUGCCUUUUUGUUUUUUUCUAUAUAUUUUCUAUCUUUGACUUUUGUAGAAUUUUCGGCAUGGCAGGGCGGACCCUGAAAAUUUGGGAACCUAGACCAUUUAGUAAAGAUUUAAAAAAUUUAGGGGCCUAAAAUUAUUUUUUUUUAAAUUUGGAGAUUUAUUUACGUAUAAAAUUUUUCAAAAAAUUUGAGGACAUAAAACGAAUGUUUCAUUAGGCUUUGCCCAGGACCGGCAUGCGAGGGAAACACAAACUAAGCCUACAUCACGAUUGGAUUCUUUUAUGAAUAAUACUAUUAAUAUUUGACUAAAUAUUUUAAAAUUUUGAGAACAUCAUAUCAAAAUUUCUCAUUAAAUAAAUUGGCAUGAGAUUUUAAAUUUUUUGAAAUUCUCUAAUAAAUAUUAUUAUUAUAUUUUUAUAUUUUCAGAAAUGUAACUUGAAAAACUUCAAUACUAAUGCUUUAGCUUACUUUAGCUGCAUGGCUUCCCGAAUAUAACUUUACUUCACAUUCAUAUCACAUCGCAACAGGUCCGUCUAAUAGCACAAGCAAGUAAAACGGUCAAGCAGGAUCCAAAACUAAAAAUAAAAAAAAAAUAUUUAAGAAUUUUUGAAACUAAAUAUAUAAAUUAUGGUCUAAAGUUUUAAACUUUUAAAUAUAUUACUAAAUUUAGAGUUUCUAAUUUCAAAAGAGUCAGAUACAUAAAUAGAACUAUAAUUUUUUUAAAUUAGUGGUUCAAAAACAAAUUAAAAUUAUUUUAUUAUAAUAUACCGUUAAUUUUUUGAACAAGGCCUAUAAAUAAUUUGACACGGCACUGAUCACAAAGGGUACUUAAUACUAAGGCAGCUUAUAGUUUACAAACACAAAGGGUUAAAGCCAACGACCGUUCCUCGCCAAGAUGUAUCAAGCUACUAAAACUAUAGCUUGGAAAAGACGGUUAUCUUCUUUAGAUAUAGAAAGUUGCUAAAGGAUAGAUCCCUACUAUGCAUAUCAAUGUUAUAUGUUUUUUUUUUCGAUUGUUUUCUUACACAUGUUAAAAGUUAAAACAUAUAUCUAAAGCUUUGUCAAGUGGUCUUUGAUUAUGUUGAACAUUAGUAUAUAGUAUAUAGUAUAGUAUAUACACGGGAAGACGUCUUAUUUCCACAUCAGAACUAUCAUAUAGUAACAAAUGUACACAAUCUUUUAACAUCGUCCUAUUUGCAUACAAUUUAAGUAUAACAACCUAUUUCCACAAACAAUAAAAGAUCGAAACCCGUUUCCACACAAACCAAUAUUUGGCUUGGUUUUAAUGGUUUAUGACAUGAAUCGACAGUAAACCAGUUUGUAUCGGUUGAUAUUGGUACAACCCAACCCAAACGAAGAUCCGACUAGGGAUCGAUUUAAACCCGACCCGAAACCAUUUUAAAAGCCCCAUAAUCGAUUAAAAUCUAAAAUUCCAGAAAGUUUAGUUUGUUUGUAUGAAUGUGUUAGUUUAUUCAUUCAAAAUCAUAAAAUUGACUUAACAUAAUUGAGUAAAUACAUAAGAAAAAGAAAUAGAUUUGGUCAAGAAUCGUGAAAAGAAAAAAUCUGAAACAGAGGUUUAGGGAUUCCUGGUAAUACUGCGAGGAAGAAGAUGAAGACGUUUGCGUAAUUUUACAUUAAUUAAAGACAGAAGGGAAAAUAAAAAUAAAAUAAAAACAGCUCUAACCUGAAUUCGAACCCGCAUGGUUAAGUGUUUAGAGGAGCACAUAAGCCAAUAGCCUACGCUUGAUUCUUAGGUAUAUUUAUCAGAUAAUAAUAUAUAUUCUAACUUCACAAAACUAAUGAGAAGCAGCAUAGAGACUGUCGAGAGAUACCUAGCAAAUGGAAACAGCCAUGGAUCUAGCUCGAUCUAGAGGUGAAGAGAAACGAAAGUGAAUCGAAGACGCUGUAAGGGUCCCAACUUUGUUUGAAGGUCCAAUUGUAAGGGCAUCCUCAAAGGGGGAGCAGUUAGGUGUGUGCUUAGAGUGAAAAUAGUAGUAUAAUAUUGUAUUUAGGCUAGGAAUAUGAGACAUUCUCAAAAGAAGAUCACUUAAUUAAGGGUGUGCUUAACCAAAUAAAAUUAAUUAAAUAAUGUAACAAAAAAACUUAUUUUAAGGAGAUACACACUUGCCACGUCGACCAGCACUUCCCUUAAGCAUAGCUCUUCGACAAGCCCUCCCAAACUGUUAUUAGCCCACUUUUGGAUUAAAUCCAAAUAUAUUAAGCCCAAGCACACCCAUGUGCUCCCCCUUUAAAGAUGGCCUAAGGGUCCCAACACAGUUCUUCUUUGUUCAGUCUGCAUUAACAUAACACCUGCAUCUUUUUCCUCUUUGAUUUUUGUUUCACUCAGCAUUCACAUCAGUCCAUGAAUCCAUUCUUUAACGACAUUCUUCGCAAAAGAGACAAAGGAUUUAAUUGCUUAACUCGAGUCUUGGGUCGGUUUAUUAGAUCCAAUUGUAUUUGGUUGAUUUAAUCUGGUUUGUAUUCUUUAAUUGGGUCUUAUUCGGGUUGUUUUUGGUUUAGUUAAAUUAUUCAUUGGUUAAGUUUACGGUUUAGGAAACACUAACCAAUUUUAAACCGUUAUUUGUCGAUAUUAGUUCGUCCUUCAAAGUUUAGGGGGAAACGGGUUUUGAACUUUUAUCUUAUGUGAAAAUAGGUUGUUAUACUUAAAUGGUGUGCAAUUAGGACGAGAUUGAAAAAUUGUAUACAUUUGUUACUAUAUGAUAGUUUUGUUACGAAGAAGCGUGUAUACAAAUCAAGUCACCGUUAGAAACAUCUAUAAGUUAAUCAAGUUCCCGCAUACCAACUACAUUACAAGAAAUCUUUUUUUCCCAAAUAAAUUAGUAGCUUUAUAGUAAACCGACCGAUUUGAAAUGCAGCAAUUUACGAAGCUAAGAGCAUGAUUAAUGGAGGUUCUUAAAAAUGAAGUUUUUAGCGUAAUUUAAAAACCGGUUCUUAACUUUAACAAAGAAAAAGGUUAAGAACCGGUUCUUAAAUACUUAUUUAAGAACCGGUUCUUAAAAAUUUUCUUUGUUAAAGUUAAGAUUCGGUUCUUAAAUUACGGUAAGAAUCCCACUUCUAAGAACAUCCAUUAAUUAUGGUCUAAGUAAGAGUGGCUAGGUUUCUUAGUAAUGAACUUUAGAAAUACUUAAAGGCCAUGGACAUGUACAGAUUCAUGCACGUAAAGUGGAUGUUUAUGAACACGUACUAUAGAAAGAAGCCUAAAUCAACAUGCUUCAAAGCCCAAUUAAUGACUCAUAUUACUUGAUAAUGUCGUUGCAUCAACUAGAAAAGCCUAAUCUUAAUCAGUUUACAAAGAUAAAGAACGAGUUUUAAACCAGAAAAAUAAGGAUGGCGAACAAGUUUUACAAACAACUCUGCAGAUUAGUAUAGCCUUGCGCCACCUCAGGGUCCCGUUGUCGACCAGCUGGAACAAGCGCUGGUAAAAGAAUAUAUAUAUAUAUAUUUUGGUAAAAGAAUAUGGCAAUACUCAAUUUCCUCGGCUAAACAUUAUUUUCUCAUGGUUAAAUAAAUAAAAACUUGCUCACUAAUGUAUAUAUGUAGCAUUUUCACUAGUCCGGAUGUAACUCAAACUUGUUGUAUUUCCUCGUCAUUUUUAUAGUGAUUUUUGUUUCCGACCAACCCUAGCGGCGCUUUAAACACCACUUAAAAAAAAAAAGUUGUCAAACACCACACUAUAGGAUUUUCUUUCUCUGACGAACUCUUAUAAUAAAUCAGAAUUUACAAUAUGAUCUAUAUAUAUACGAUUUGUAUGUGGAUUCAUGUAUUUUAAAACUAUUGAUGGAGUUACAAUGCACGAACGUGGGUAUUAGUGUUCAUCACGACACUUUAUUAUGUUAUCUCCACACAUAUAUUUGUAUAGAUAUGAUUUCUCUAAGUUUGAUAAAUUUUCUAGCCAUUUACUUGUUCUUCUGUGAAGUUGUCCAUACAUAUUCCUUUUUAUAUUAUCCCAAAUAUAAAGACUCUUUCUUAAACGCUCCGACUUCUCUCUAGCUUUAUAAAAGUGAUAUCGUUUCCGGUGGCCGGUGAGCAACUCGCCACCGGUCGCCACCCCUUUUCUUUUGUCUUUUGUUAAUGUUUGUAUCAUAUUAUAUCUAUCUUCCGUUGCGGAUAUUAUCUUCGCUAGGCGAUUUUGCAGUGUUUCUCAAGUCAAUCGGAGCUGUGUCUACUUGUUCUCUUUUAUCUUUGUUUUGGCUUGAGAUUAAUAAACUUCCGAUCUUUUUGAUCGGAGUUAUGUUAAGCUUCAUCUCUCCUGAAGAAUUUGGAUUUAUCCCGAUUGUCUCUUUAUAUCUAUUUCUUUUAGCUGGGCAUCCUUGAUCUUUACUUCAGAUGAUAUCAAUCUUUUCUUCCAAAUUUUAAGCAAAGUAGUCAAAAGAGGUUAAAAAUUGAGUUUUGCAUGUUCGUCUUCGCGAUCUAUUCCAGUUAAAGAAGAGUUGAAGCUUGUCGUGUACGAGUGUUUCGACGAAGACUGGUUUGAAAUCGAUUGGAGCGUCUUAGAGUUCAUCACAUCUGGCGAGGAGGAUUAGAUAUGUGGAGGCAAUUGGUGUCAGAAAUAGAAGCUUGAAGCUUCUGAAAGAAGGACAAAUCUACAGCAAAAAGAUGAAGAAGAUAGGGAAGCGUCAUAGAGAACCCACUGUUGGAUAAGCUUCAAAGAAAGAUUACUUAGGAAACAAGUUAUUCAUUAAAGAUAAGUAGAAUAACUUAUAUGUUUAGGAUAAUGAUAAGAUUCCUAGACAUACUUGUAAUAGGAUCCUAUAUAUAAAGAGAUCUAAUGUAAGAUGAUCUCUACAACAUUAUUGAGAAAGAAAGAAAAGAAAGAAAUAAAACAAAGAAACAGUUUUAUAGUUUUGUGUCUUGAUCGAUUUUAUUUGGUAUCAGAGCUUGUGGUUAUAAAGAAGAGAUCACUGGUUCUUAAGAUACAAAACAAUGGCGGAUUCAAAAGCUUUGAUAAAGUUUAAGGAAGGCGUACCUGGUACUGUGGUAUGUCCAAUGUUAACGACAUCGAACUAUACGGUGUGGGCAAUGAGGAUGAAGGUGCUUCUGCGUGUGCACAAGGUGUGGGAAACAAUAGAGCCUGGAACUGAUGAAGAAGAGAAGAAUGAUUUAUCCACAGCUCUUCUGUUUCAAUCCAUACCUGAAACACUGAUCUUGCAAGUUGGCGACUUAGGUUCCCCUAAAGUAAUUUGAGAGGCUAUACGAUCAAGAAACCUAGGAGCAGAGCGUGUCAAAUCAGCUCGUCUUCAGACGUUGAUGAAUGAAUUUGAUUUCUUGAAGAUGGACGACACAGAUACGAUUGAUACAUUCUCAGGAAAGAUACCGGAACUUGCGUCAAAAGCAACCUCAUUGGGACAGAGUAUUGAGGGACCUAAAGUUGUGAAGAAGUUUCUCAAUAGUCUACCAUCAAAGUUCAUUCAUAUGACUGCAUCUUUGGAACAGUUGUUGGAUUUAGAUUUAACUAGUUUCGAAGAUAUCAUUGGAAGGCUUAAAGCUUAUGAAGAACGUAUAAAAGGCUUUGAAUCUAUUGAACAACAAGGUAGUCUUCUGUACUCAAACACUGAGAAGUCAUAUGAUCAGAGAGGAUCAGACAAUUCAGGAAGAGGCAGAGUACAGAACAGAGGUCGUGGCAGAGGUAACAGAGGAAGAGGCCGCGGCAGGAGCAACGAUGGCGAGAGAAGCAAAGAGAAAAGUGACUACUCUCAGAUUUUCUGCUACAACUGCAAGAAGAAGGGACACUUUGCAUCAGUCUGUACCGAAAAGAAAGACGAUAAAGAACUCAACAAAGCUGAAACCGAAAUUGCGGAGGCAGCUUUAUACAUGCAUGAAUUGGUGUUUCUCAAUGAACAGAAGGUGAUGCCUAAGAAACUUGAAACCGACAAGAAGGAAGACGGUGUGUGGUACCUAGACAAUGGCGCCUCUAAUCACAUGACUGGAGAACGGUCUUACUUCUCUGAGAUAAACGAGAACAUCAAAGGCAAAGUAAAGUUUGGAGAUGGAUCAUUCGUUGAUAUAAGUGGAAAAGGUUCAAUUCUCUUUGAAACUAAGACAUGAGAACAGAAACUCCUAACGGAUAUCUACUUCAUUCCUGAGCUAAAGAGCAACAUUCUAAGCCUAGGACAAGCAACUGAACAAGGCUGUGAUGUGCGUCUGAGAGACAACUUCUUAACCCUAAGAGACCCUGAAGGAAGAUUGAUUGUCAAGGUACUAAGAUCAGCAAAUCGGCUCUAUAAGAUAAAGCUACAAGUCGGCAGAGCAACAUGCCUACACGCUAAGAUAAAUGAGGAACCAUGGAGGUGGCACGCUAGACUUGGCCACAUUAGCUUCAAGACAAUGAGAGCUAUGGCGACUCAUGGGAUGGUUCAUGACCUGCCGGAGAUAAAUGAAGAGCGAAGACUUUGUGAUUCUUGUUUGGUUGGCAAAUAAACUCGACAAUCUUUCCCAAAAGCAACAGCGUUUAGAGCAAAGCAAGCACUAGAGCUCUUACACGCAGACCUGUGCGGUCCAAUCUCUCCAACAACCCUAUCUCUCAACAAGUACAUCUUUGUCAUCAUUGACAACUGCACAAGGUACAUGUGGUCUAUACUAUUGAAAGAUAAGAGUGAUGCGUUUGAUAAUUUUAAAAUGUUCAAGAAACUUGUUGAGAAUGAUUUCAACAAAGAGAUAGUAACGUUGCGCACAGACAGAGGUGGAGAAUUCACUUCACAAGAGUUUCAGAGCUACUGCAACAACAAUGGAAUAAGAAGACACUUGAAAGCGCCUUAUACACCACAACAGAAUGGUGUGGUUGAGCGUAGAAACCGCACAUUAAUGGAGAUGACUCGGAGCAUACUAAAGGCAAUGAAUGUGCCGAACUAUCUGUGGGGUGAGGCUGCUCGUCACGCAACGUAUUUGAUUAAUAGAGUUCCCAAAAGAGCUCUAAAGAAUCAAACUCCCUAUGAAUGUAUAAGAGGGAAGAAACCAAACCUGUCUCACAUAAGAGUAUUCGGAUGUGUUGCACAUGCAAAGAUAGACUCAGGCAAGCUAAGAAAACUCGAUGAUAGAUCAGAGGCUGCGGUUCACUUAGGCAUUGAACCAUGUUCCAAAGCCUAUAGAUUAUACAAUCCUACUUCAAAGAGAAUUAUUGUAAGUAGAGAUGUGAUCUUUGAUGAAAAGGCUCGUUGGAAUUGGAAGGGAGGAAGUAAGCAAGUCCAAACUGAGCCUGGAAUGUUCCAUAUGACAUGGGGAAGCACAUAAGAUAAUGGAAGCGGUCCUUUUGUUGUCGGAGCUAGUAAUGAAGAAGAAACAACAGAACCACUAACUCAACCUAGCGAAACAGAGGAAACAGAGGAUGUAGCCAUCAAAAGUGAAGCAGGUGAACAAGAACAUAUGCAAGAAGUAAGACGUUCAUCUCGAGAAGUUAAGAGAUCAGGCUACCUCGACAAUUAUAUCUUGUUGGCUGAGGCUGAAUGCGAGGUUCUAUUGCUUGCGUUAAAUGACGAACCAGGAAGCAUACAAGUGGCUCUUAAGAACAAGAAGUGGAAAGUGGCGUGUCUGGAUGAGAUCGAGUCUAUAGUUAAGAAUGAGACUUGGACCUUGGUUGAGAAGCCACACGGAGUAAAGGUGAUCGGACUCAAGUGGAUCUUUAAGGUCAAACGUAACGCAGACGGAAGCAUCAACAAAUUCAAAUCAAGACUUGUGGCAAAGGGCUACGUUCAAGAACAAGGAAUUGACUUCGAUGAAGUCUUUGCGCCAGUGGCUCGAAUAGAGACAAUACGUUUGUUGAUUGGUUUGGCUGCUGCGUGUAGAUGGGAGAUCCACCACCUAGAUGUUAAUACAGCCUUCUUACACAGCGAGCUUGUUGAAGAAGUGUACGUGAAUCAACCAGAGGGAUUCGAGAAGAAAGGAGAAGAACACAAAGUGUUCAAGCUUAAGAAAGCUCUAUAUGGUCUGCGCCAAGCCCCUAGGGCAUGGAACACAAAGCUGGAUCAAAUCCUGAAGGGUUUUAAGUUCGUUAAGUGUACUAAAGAAAGCUCCGUGUAUCGCAAGGGAGAAGGAGACAAGCUACUCAUAGUGGCCAUAUAUGUUGAUGAUCUGUAUGUUACAGGGAACUCAUCUCAGAAGAUAAGAGAAUUCAAGACUGCAAUGUCUCAGAAGUUUUAGAUGUCUGAUUUGGGUUUACUACCCUACUAUCUCGGUAUUGAAGUGAAACAAAGCGCGCAAGGCAUCACGAUCAAGCAAGAAGCCUAUGCUCGACGUAUACUAGAAGAGGCUGACAUGGAUACUUGCAACUCAACGCACAUUCCAAUGGAGUUUGGAGUUCAUCUCUCAAAAGCAAUGGAUGAACCUGAGAUAGAUGCAAGCGAGUACAGAAGGAGGAUAAGCUGUUUGAGAUACCUAAUGCAUACAAGACCAGACAUAGCAUUCAGUGUCAGUAUACUAAGCAGGUUCAUGCAGUCUCCAAGAGAGUCGCAUGAAAAAGCCUUAAAGCAAGUGCUAAGGUACUUGAGAGGUUCUAGUGGGUUCGGUUUAAGGUUUAAGAAUGAAGGAUCUCAAGAAGUUGUUGGAUACAGCGACAGCAGCCACAACACUGAUCCAGAUGAUGGAAGAAGUACUACUGGACAUCUGUUUUGUCUCGGUGACACGCCAAUAUCUUGGUGCUCACAUAAACAAGACAUGGUGGCGCUAUCAUCCUGUGAAGCCGAAUACAUGGCAGCGACAGAAGCCGCUAAUCAGGCCAUUUGGCUUCAAGAGUUACUAAGUGAGAUCAUAAGAAGAAGAGCUCAAAGAACACUGAUUCGUGUGGACAACAAAUCGGCCAUAGCACUGGCCAAGAACCCAGUCUUUCAUCGACGCAGUAAGCACAUUCACAAGCGUUUCCACUUCAUCAGAGAAUGUAUUGAAAGAGAGCUCGUUGAUGUGGAACAUGUACCGGGAGCAGAGCAACGAGCAGACAUACUAAGAAAGGCACUAGCAAGGAUCAAGUUCAAGGAGAUGAGGGAGCUGAUCAAAGUACAAGACCUAAGUGAAAAUGGUGUAAAGCUUAGAAGGGAGAAUGUUGGAUAAGCUUCAAAGAAAGAUUACUUAGGAAACAAGUUAUUCAUUAAAGAUAAGUAGAAUAACUUAUAUGUUUAGGAUAAUGAUAAGAUUCCUAGAUAUACUUGUAAUAGGAUAAGUUAAGAGGAUCAUAUAUAUAAAAAGAUCUAAUGUAAGAUGAUCUCUACAACAUUAUUGAGAAAGAAAGAAAAGAAAGAAAUAAAACAAAGAAACAUUUUUAUAGUUUUGUGUCUUGAUCGAUUUUACCCACAGCGGAGCUUCACGGUGGUGAGAUUGUUGUUUCAUCCAAGAUUGAUGUGCGUCUCCCACGUGUCCGUGUCCGGUGAAGACCUAGCAGCUUGCACGUGGAAAAAUAUAAACCUUGUCACGACCGCUUUUCUAGUAGAUUAAAUUGUAAUUUUUGCUAUUUGAAUUUUUUUCUGACCCAAUUUGUACCAAUAGUUUAAUGAAAACCAACAAGUUGACAAAAAAAAAUAUUAUCCCAAAUAUAAUUAAAAGAAAAAGAAAAUAAGAUAAUAAAGAAUAGGGAAAUUGCACUCCCUACACUACACUUCUAUCCUAAUUAGCCUCAUACCCUAAAUCCCACAAUCUUCUACCUUAUUCCAUAGACACAAAUCAGUCAAAUCAUAGGUAUUAUGGAAACUGGCAUGUAAGGAUGAGAUCGACUCUAUAGAUAAGAAUGAGACUUGGGUCCUCGUGGAGAAACCACACGGAGUGAAGUUGAUAGGACUCAAAUGGGUAUUCAAGAUCAAGCGUAACGCAGACGGAAGCAUCAACAAAUUCAAAUCAAGACUCGUUGCAAAGGGGUAUGUUCAAGAGCACGACAUAGAUUACGAUGAAGUCUUUGCUCCAGUGGCUCGGAUGGAAACUAUAAGGCUUCUUGUAGGUCUUGCUGCUGGGAAUAGAUGGGAGAUCCAUCAUCUAGAUGUAAAGACAGCCUUCUUGCAUGGUGAGUUGAUUGAAGAUGUGUACGUGACACAGCCGGAAGGGUUUGUGAAUAAAGGUGAAGAAAAAAAAGUUUACAAACUCAAGAAAGCUUUAUAUGGUCUGCGACUAGCUCCUAGAGCAUGGAACACGAAGCUCGAUCAGAUACUGAAAGGAUUAAGGUUUAAGAAGUGCACAAAAGAAAGCUCAGUCUAUCGCAAGGAAGAAGAAGAUAAGUUGCUUAUAGUUGCUAUAUAUUUCGAUGAUUUGUUCAUCACUGGGAAUUCUUUGAAGGCAAUAAAAGAGUUCAAAGCAUCGAUGUUUGAGAAGUUUGAGAUAUCAGACUUGGGCUUGUUAACCUACUACCUCGGGAUAGAGGUGAAACAGAGCUCAGAAGGUAUUAUGAUCAAGCAAGAAGCAUAUGCUUGACAUAUACUGGAGGAAACAAAUAUGGAUGACUGCAAAUCAGUGUGCAUACCGAUGGAGUUUGGUCUGCAACUUUCAAAAGCAACAGAUGAACUUGAAGUGGAUGCAAGCGAAUAUAGAAGGAAGAUAGGGUGCCUGAGAUACUUAAUGCAUACAAGACCAGACAUGGUGUUUAGUGUUGGUAUGUUAAGUAGGUUCAUGCAUUCACCAAGAGAGUCGCACGGGAAACCCUUGAAGCAAGUGCUGAGAUAUUUGAAGGGCUCUUGUGGUUACGGUUUGAAGUUUAGCAUGGAGGAUCUCAAGAACUUAUAGGGUACAGCGAUAGCAGCCACAACACUGAUCCAGAUGAUGGAAGAAGUACUACUGGACAUCUGUUUUGUCUCGGUGACACGCCAAUAUCUUGGUGCUCACAUAAACAAGACAUGGUGGCGCUAUCAUCCUGUGAAGCCGAAUACAUGGCAGCGACAGAAGCCGCUAAUCAGGCCAUUUGGCUUCAAGAGUUACUAAGUGAGAUCAUAAGAAGAAGAGCUCAAAGAACACUGAUUCGUGUGGACAACAAAUCGGCCAUAGCACUGGCCAAGAACCCAGUCUUUCAUCGACGCAGUAAGCACAUUCACAAGCGUUUCCACUUCAUCAGAGAAUGUAUUGAAAGAGAGCUCGUUGAUGUGGAACAUGUACCGGGAGCAGAGCAACGAGCAGACAUACUAAGAAAGGCACUAGCAAGGAUCAAGUUCAAGGAGAUGAGGGAGCUGAUCAAAGUACAAGACCUAAGUGAAAAUGGUGUAAAGCUUAGAAGGGAGAAUGUUGGAUAAGCUUCAAAGAAAGAUUACUUAGGAAACAAGUUAUUCAUUAAAGAUAAGUAGAAUAACUUAUAUGUUUAGGAUAAUGAUAAGAUUCCUAGAUAUACUUGUAAUAGGAUAAGUUAAGAGGAUCAUAUAUAUAAAAAGAUCUAAUGUAAGAUGAUCUCUACAACAUUAUUGAGAAAGAAAGAAAAGAAAGAAAUAAAACAAAGAAACAUUUUUAUAGUUUUGUGUCUUGAUCGAUUUUACCCACAGCGGAGCUUCACGGUGGUGAGAUUGUUGUUUCAUCCAAGAUUGAUGUGCGUCUCCCACGUGUCCGUGUCCGGUGAAGACCUAGCAGCUUGCACGUGGAAAAAUAUAAACCUUGUCACGACCGCUUUUCUAGUAGAUUAAAUUGUAAUUUUUGCUAUUUGAAUUUUUUUCUGACCCAAUUUGUACCAAUAGUUUAAUGAAAACCAACAAGUUGACAAAAAAAAAUAUUAUCCCAAAUAUAAUUAAAAGAAAAAGAAAAUAAGAUAAUAAAGAAUAGGGAAAUUGCACUCCCUACACUACACUUCUAUCCUAAUUAGCCUCAUACCCUAAAUCCCACAAUCUUCUACCUUAUUCCAUAGACACAAAUCAGUCAAAUCAUAGGUAUUUUUUUUUUUUUUGGAUUUUCAACCGAUUGCUUCUAAAGAAUAUUCGAAAUCGAUGGUGUUUCCAACUUCCAUCACAAUGAUUUUCCCCCCUUUUGGCCACUAGUAAAUAUGUGACCUUUUGACAAUUUUCAUGGUAAUAAAUGAAUUGCAAGUUAUAGGAAAACAUCGAUUUUUUUUAAAAAAAUUCACUGAUGUUUUGCGUAGCAUGAGUAUUUUGUACAUGUAUACAAAUACUUUUUGCGUAGCAUAAUGUUUUUUUUUUGUAAAGAAAGGUAGCAUAAAGUUCUCGUGGAGGAUUCUGAUUAGCUAACAAAUAAAUGUCUUCCGAAUAUUGCGGCCGCAUCUCUUCACUUCACCAUUUCUUUUCGCAGGUGUACUAUUUCAUAUCUUUUCGCAAAAUCAAUUAUUUUAUUUUAUAAUGCUAAUACAUAAUGAUGUCAGUUGUACUAUCUUGAUGCUCUUACUACAUGAUUAUCAAAUUCAUUUGGGAGUGAUCUUAUCACGAAAUUAUGACAUGACAAUAAAUCAUCUAACAGUUCAAAAAAAUCAUCUAAAACAGAAAACAACAAAAACGAGGUAAAAUGAGGUCUUUGUUCGUAUCCCGUUAAUAUUUAAGUAUCAUGAGUAAAUUUGAAAGUGUAUUAAAAGUGAUGUGUUUUUAAUAAUAUGAUAAUGACAUAAUGAAGAUUUAAGAUUUUGAUAAUAUGAAUGUAAGAAUGCGAUAAUAUUUUAUUCUUCUUGCGAGCGGAAAAGGUAUUAGUUUAUAAUCAACAUCCUACUUCUAUUCUAACGAAUUAUUUGCAACGAGUAAUCAAGAACCAUUAUUAUAUAAGAACUUCACAAACUCAAGUAAACUCAGAAAGAUAAUCUAAACUAAAGAGUACAAGACUUGGCCAUUUGAUCCAUUUAUCUAUAUGAUUAAUAAAUAGAUUAUCUCACUUGCUUUAGUUUAUAUUUCCCAAAGAGAAGAAGAUAUGGAAUUGGAAAACGUAGAAAACGAUUACGAUAAUCAGUUUGCUCCAUAUAGACCGGAGCUCCCCGAUCAGCAUCAGCCAGACGAUUUCUUCGCAGAUCUUGAAGAGCUAGAAGAAGAUUCUCUAAGCAUGUUUCUUUCUCAAGGCGUCGCCGGCUACGGGAGCAAUAAAACGACGGCGUCCAAUGGGAUCAGCAAUUUCGGCGGUUGGUCUGGGGCAGAUAAUAGUAACGACGACCGAGACUCAAGGUCGUUAUAGAAUAUAGAUAGUGUUAAUUACAGAAUGUCGAAGAUAUUAUUGUGUCACACUCUACGCGAGUACUAACAGAGUAUCUAUUUACUUAUUUACUAGUCUAAAAUCCGCACCUUAGGAUAAACAUUUUAUAUACAAAUUCUUUUUACUUAUUAUCAUUUGCUUAACAUAUUUUAACAUAUUACUAGAUCUUGACCUGCGCGACCGCGCACGUAUUUGUUUUCAUUUAUAUGUACGAAACAUUUAGUUUUUACAUUAUUAGUUAUAUAUUCUAUUAAAUAGAUACACAAAAUAAUAUUUAUCUAUUUUAAGUGGGUUCUUACGGAUUUUCGUACUUUUUAACUAAUUCUAACCAUUCUGUUUAUUUUUUUCUAAUUAAUUAGACAGCAUUUAUUACAAAAUAUAAAAUAAAACUUACCUAUUUGAAAUGUUUUAUUAUCUUUCUUUUUUCACUCUUUUUAACAACUUUAUUAAUUGUAUUUAUUAUAAUAAUUCAACACGAUUUAUUUUAAAUGUUAACAAUAAUAAUUUCACCAGUUUUAAAGAAAUUGCUUCAUUUGUGAUAAAAAUUCAAACCUGUUAAUAAAUAAAUUUUUUAUUUGUUUAAAGAAUCAGUUAAAUAUAUGCAUCCGAUAACCCACUCGAAUACGAAUUAAUUCUUUUUUUAUAUCGAGGUUUUUUGGUUUUAAAAUUAAACUCCAUUUAGAUAUUUAAAAUUUUUAAACGGGGUUCGAGUCGGAUCUUUCCGGAUUCGAAUAGCUUUGUAUGAACCUAAAAUAUUCAAAUAACCCACAUGUUUAAAACUGUCAUCAAAUAAUUCAUAAAAAUAAAAAUAAAAAAACAACCAAGCUCUAGUAUAUAUUAUAAUAUAAACAUUUGUGUAUUCACAGAUUCAUAAUAAUGUUAGUUUACUUAUUUGUUAUCUCAUUAAUUUUUUCAAACCAUCACUUAUAUUUGUAGCUUUUUAUCUUAUAUAUUUAUGUCGGUAGAUUUGCGUUUGAUUAUUAGGACAUUUAGUAUUAGUUAUUGUUGGUAUGAAAAAUGAGCCACGUUGGCAUAUAUUCCUAUGAUAGAGUGAACCGGUUUGGUUUGAUUUUAAUAUGUGGUGAAUGAUUUAUUUAAUUACAGUCUGUUUGUUUAAGAGAAAGGAAUAUUCCUACGUAAACUCGGAUGAUAAUAGCUUAGACGUUAAUAAUGUAUAAUAAAUGAAAUGUUAUGUAAUUUAUGAUUUUCUAGUGAAGUCCAUUUUUAAAAUAUCACACAUAAAAAAAAGUUGUGACUUAUCUUUUAAUAGAUAAGAUGAAACAAAUUAAUAAAUAUACGUUGAAUAAUUGAAAAACUAUUAACUAUUAACUAUUACGUAUAUAAUUAUAUUAACACAAAUACAUAAAUUAAAGAAAUCUUGUUUGUUUAUUUACAAUCAUUUUGUAGUAAAUAAAUUUAUACAAUUAUUUUCUCUAUUUUUUAUGAUAUGUAAUUAAAUUUAAAUAAUAGUAACAUAAAAAUAUAUUAUAUUUUAAUAUGACUAUCUAUUAAAUGAAACUUCCUAAUCAUAUGAUUUUAUGAUUAUUUAUAUUUGAUAACAAAAUUUUAAACUAUUAAUCAUAAAAAAACUAUUGUAAAACUUUUAUAUUUUUAAUAAUUUAUAAUAUUCUUGAAAAUUUAAUAUAAAUUUGAAAAUUAAAAUAUUAAGUUCUCAAUACUUGUUCAAUGCUACUUAUUUAAAUUCGGUUUGUAUAAUAUUUAUGUCUUAUAUCUACAUGGACAAAACAAAAUUUGUUUUCGCUUGUAUAGUUUAGAACACUUUUAUUUUCUUCUUACACUCUCAAACAGUCUCUAAUAGAUCCGAGGUAAAGGUAGUUGUUUUGCUAUAUUAGUAUGUGAUUAAUAAUGAUUUAAUGAGCUAUUGAUGUUUAUGUAAUCAAGUUUUGCUGCGGGUAUGGGAGCAGGAAAAGUGGGGCGAAGGAAUAUUAGGUGGAUGGGACACAAAGUGAAUAAGUUCGUUCAUCUACACAGUUCAAUCACACCAGACGCACCCCAAUACAUAUCUCUGAAGCUAUUCACAUAUAUUGUGACCGCAAAGCACGACUAGUGAUAUAAUAUGAAUGGAAAAUGUAAUUACUCCUAGUUACUCUUAUAAUCUACCAAUCAGGAGAAAACAUCAUUUUCUUUAUUCUCUUCUAUUUUUGUUGAAAUGGAGGAAAAUGUUACACCAAUAUAUACGUAAUUAAAAUUUAUUCCACUUCUUUUUCUUUCUCAUUUACUCUAUUUUUUGUCUGUAUUCUAUUUUAAUUUUUUCACUUUUUCAUUUUUUUUUUAUUUUCCUCCCAUUUAGUCUAAGGUUUUGAUUAGUAAUUUUAGAGUAAAUGGGAGAAAAAUAAUAUAAAUGGAGGAAAAUGUUACACCAAUAUAUACGUAAUUAAAAUUUUUCAUGUUAAUUAUAUAGUUGGUGUAGCUACAAUUUUUUUUAAUAGGGUAACACAUUACAUCAUCAGAUAAUUUCUAAUUUUAUUAGAUAUGAUGAUCAACUACCUGCAACAUAUGCAAUAUUGAUGAACAGCUCCACAUAUAAGGAUUCCACGAUAAAAGUUUUUCCGAAACACUUGGAUCGACAGACGGUUCUGCAUGUACGACAUCCUCGAUGGACAGGCUCUCGCAGCAGACGACUACAACGAACGGCUCUGCCUACAGUACUCUGAAACCUCUAAUAAACUUCGCAUCAUAUAAUCUGCAAGAAAUUGCAUAGUUUAGGAAUCGAACUCUGGACCUGGAAGUAAAAACCUUUAAACCUUAACCAGUAGGCUACAGUACUUCCACGUACACACAUUUAUAUAUUUUGUCGCCAUACACGCAAUCACACACACACACAUAUAUAUGUUUUAUUAUACACAAUAUAUAUUGACAUAUAUAGGUUUCGUAUGGUAACGGACCACCGCCAUGCACCGUUGUUAAUAGUAACAAAAAUCUCUAUAUAUAAUUAUGUAUCUAUAUAUUUUUGUUACUAUUAAAACUUCACCGUAGUUAUUCUACCUCCGGGCGACGAUUUGGCACCAGAUAUCCGGAGGUGUGGAAAGAGCAGCUGUGAGAAGCGGAAAAACCAUCAAAAAACGACGAUUGUUCGUGAAGGUUUCCAAAGAAAGACCCCUUGGUUCUGGCGCACGUUACCAUUCGGAGUCAUAACUACAAGAUAUCUUUAAAUGGGUAUUUUGUUUGUAAGUGAAUUAUAUGAAAUGAUCUAUGAGUGUGUUAGACACACAGAGCAGCCUUUAUCACUAUGUUGUCCCGUAGGCCUGAGACUUUUAUCCGAGAUCCGGAUUCGAUCUGAGAUCUGAUCCGGAUCCAAUCCGAAAAUCCGGAUAUCCGGAGAGGUAGAAUCCGGAUCCGGAUAGUAAAAUGUUGGAUCCGUCAAAGUCGAAUCUGGAUCCGGAUAUCUUGAUUUUUUAGUUCGGAUAUCCAGAUCCGUAAAUUUUAUUAAAAACUAUUUCAAAAAGAAUAAUAUCUAUAUAUAAAAACUAAUUUUAUUAAAUAAAUUUUCAUUUUUAUAAUAUUAUAUAUAAAUUUUAUGUAAAUUUUGUAAUAUUAUACAUAGAAAUAAUAAUAAAACAUUAUAUAUAUUUUUAUUUUUAAAUUAUUGUUAAUAUUUAAUAUAUUAAUAUUAUUUUUUUUAUUUAUUUUAAGGAUUCAAAUCCGAAUCCGGAUAUUAUAAUUUUUAGAAGGAUAUCCGACACCCGGAUAUCCGCGAACCCCGGAUCUGGAUAAGGAUAGUAAAAUUAUGGAUCCGCCGGAUAAGGAUCCGGAUCCGGAUAUCUUAAAAUUGUCCGGAUAUCCGAUCCGUCUCAGGCCUAUUGUCCCGCUCUAUUAGGCGACCAAUAUAACCGAUGUGUGUGUCAACUUUAAUUCUAGAUUUGGUUUUUUCUCUCGCUAGUUUUCUAAAUUAAAUUUUUGAUGAAUCUAUCUAUGUUAUUAAAAUUGAACUACUUUUUAGUACUGUUUGAAAAUAUAGAUUGCAUUAAAUAUGGAUAUAGUAAUUACAUUAAUUGUCUUUCCAUAUUUCACUCAGUUUAACAUUUUCAUUAAUUAUAUUACCUUAACAAUACAUCAUAUUAUUAUUUAUAUUACCAUAAUAAUAGUAGUGCAUGUUUUUAUUUAUUAGUUAAUCAAUAUUAGCUUUGUACCAAUUAUAAAAUCGAAAAUGUAAAAUAACUGGGUUUUGCAUAUGGUUAAACCUUCAGUUUAACUUGUUUUACUAAUUUUUUUAAUUUUAGUUUCGAUCAGUGGAAAAUUACGUUGCCAAAAACAUAAUUCAAAGACAUAUUUUUUGAAUAAAAUAAUAACUUAAAUCAAAAUAAUAAAAAAGUAUUACAUUUAUUGUCCCUCAAUUUUUCACUCCAUAUAAUUAUUUUACUAAAUAAAAUUUAUUUAUAUUUCACUUAAUUUAGCCAUACACAUGUAACGAGUCUUUCUUAUUAGUUUAUAAAAUCAGUUAGGCAUGAACAUUGGCUAUCCAUUUAGGUACAAGCUGUUCUUUUCGGGUAUUAUUUUUUUUUCUUUUGAAAUUAAGCCCCGUUUGAAUAUUAUAAAUUUAUGUGUGAGUUUUGAGUUGGACCCUUCUAGGUUUAGAUGAGUUUGAUUAUUAUGUACAAUAACCUAAAAAUAUUUAAAUAACAAAUUUAUCUGAAAUGAAUUCGAAUAUUUGUACCGAAAAUAACUAUGUUAUCCGAUUCGGUACAGGUCUUUUGAAUAAAAUUAUUUAUAUUACGAUCCAUCUAAAAUAUAUGAAAAAACUAAUAUCUAUGCGGAUGCGCGAAUCAAUCUCUAGUUAAGUUUAUAUGUCAAUGUUGUAUCAUAAUUUACAAGAGUUAUAAAUAGUUUUAGGGGGUUACAUGGUACAUCUCUUUUCUCUUUCAACAAAGAGCAUUUAUUUUUCACUGAACAAAGAAAAUCUUCUCAUUUCCCAUUAAUUUAUAUACUUAACAUUGAGAAAAAAAAUUUAGAAGCCAAUAAUCUUCGAAUUGCUUUAUUGAAUGAGUGAUUUAGCGUAAUGACAACCCACAUUGUUGGACAUGCUGUGGCCACCAAAUUAAAUUUUGUUUUUUUUCCAACAUGAUAUACUUCUUUUUUUCCAAAGAAGAUAUACUUUAUUUUGUUCAAAAAACAUGAUAUACCAAAACAAAAAAAUUGUGGAGCUUUAAUAAAUAGAAAAAUAAAUUACGAAAAUUAAAGGUAAUAAGUACUAAUAUUUGUUGUUGGAUUUUGAGAGAGACUAAAAUAUAAUGGGAGCAGUGACCUUAAGUUAAGUCAAAUCAACCAUCCACUCCGAUUGAUUGAAAGAAAAAUUCAUCACAACUCUUUGUUUCUUGAACAAAUUGUUUUUGAUUUGACGAGGGGAGAAGAACAGUCGUGACAUUUUAUUGCUAACUAAUAAUUUACAUUUCGAUUAUUUUCUUUCAUCAUGGGACAUAGACAGACGCCUGGGAAUCGCGGGUUACCCGCAAAAUAAAGCGGGGCGGGUGCGGGUAUUAGUUUAUUUCUUUGCGGGUUGAGCGGGUCGAAAUUUUAACUAAAAAAAAAGAAACGAUCCGCGGGUUGGCGGGUCGUGCGGGUUGGCGGGUCGACUUUUAUUUUUAGUGUGUGGGGACUGACUGGGAACAGGGCCGGGCCUGACAAUUUCGGGCCCAGAAGCAAAAAAAAAAUUUGGCCCAUGAUCUAUAUAAAACAUGAAAAUAUUAAAAGGUGUUUCCAUGUGAUUCGAACCUAUAAUCUCCCGCUGUUAUAUAUCUAGUUUUUGCCACCAAAACUAAAGAGAAACUUCACUUAUUCUUGGCCCCUAAAAUAAAUAUUCUCUUGUUGGCCCCAAAACCAAUGCUUGAUUUGCUUGGUAUCAGGCACGGCCUGACUGGGAAAGAUGGGUUUAUGGAUGAAUUAUAUGAACUGAGCCUUGACGAUGAAGAAAAAAAGGGAAGUAAGUUAGGCAAACGUUUAUAAGUAACAUGACUGCUAAAGUUGAAAGAACGUACGUUGUCCAUGAACUAUGUGUGUGACAAGAACUAUUACUGAAGAGUUACAAUAUAUAUAAAUUGAUGAGUGUAAUUUUUCAAAUAUGAAGUGAUGAUGUGGUAUUAUGAUCUUAUUGAAAUUUUGUAGGAAAAAGUUUACAUAGGAAUAUUCUAGCUUCAUAUGAAGAUUUGAAAAUUCGUCCGUUUAAAGAGCUCCGAAGAUUCUAUUCUGAGAUGCACGUCGGUGUGUGGGUGGUGUCAUGACAAGAUAGUGAAAUAUGUAGGUCGUAUUCUCGUGGAAACUACUGCCAUUAGAUAUUGGUGUAUUGGUGCUGUUGGUGAUACUAUUUAUGAUUUUUUGUGUUAGUUAAAUUUAUGGGCUAGAUUUUGAAAAUAUACAUUGAAAAUAAAUUUUGCACUUCAUCCGUUUCAUAUUAUAAGUAGUUUUAGCCAAAAAGAAAAUAUUUCACAAUAUACUCAUUUCAAUGCGUCUUUUAAUUUAUUGAAUAUUGUAUGACUAAUUGGUUAAUCUUAUUAAUUAAAUAAUAUUUUUUUUCUAAAGUAAUAUUUUUUAGUAAUAGUGCUUUUUAUCUAAAAUUACUUAUAUAUUGAAACAGAGAGUAUUUAUUUUACUUUACAUAUUUAUUCGGAUAACAUUGAUUUCUUUAUUGUUAAAUACAUCUAACCCAAAAAUAUUUUUACAAAAUUCUAUUUUUAAAACUUUAUAAGCACAGAAUAACAUCAAAGCCAUACGAAUCUGCUUAUAAUUUGUAAGCCAACCGUGUAAUGCAUAACAAAUGAUAAAUUGAUUGUAUAUAUACAUGCUAACUUUUUUAUAUCAAUCACUUAAGAAUGAUUUGCAAUGUUAAUUUUAAAACUAGGCUUCUACCCGCGCUAAAGGCAGAAUUUGUUCUUUUUCAUUUGAAUAAUAAAAUUUUAUAUAAGAAAUAAUAUAUUAAAAAUGGAAAAUUUUAAUUGUAUUAUAUUUAUAAUAGUUUGGGUUGUGUGAAGAAUAAUAUUCUUAAUUGUAAAAAUAUAUUCACGGAAAUGAUUAGUUUUAACCCAUAUUAUAAUGUAAAAUCAUCAUUUAAAAUAAUCUUAAAAAUUUAAUUAAAAAUAAUUUUAUAAAAAUGUUAUGCAAUGUAAGUUUAAAUGUAUAGUUGAUUUAAAAUAAUUUUAUUUUAUUAUUUAGAAAACAACAUAUGUUAAAUAUAUAACUAAUUUGUGUAGAUUUAUGUAUUAUACAGCUAAGUUUUCUCUUGAGAAGAAGAAGUAUGUGCAAAAAAAAUUUAAAACCAAAUAAAAAACAUAAAAAUUCUAAAGGUGAUUUAAAAAAAAAUCAUAUUGGGAUCAAUCGAACCUUUUCCCACACAUAGAAAAACUUUAAAUUUAUUUUUUCACCAUAUACAGUCAUCUCAUCUUAAAUUUAUCCACUUAUAGAUUUAUUUAUAUUUAUUUAUGUCAUUUUGGAAAUAUGUAUAUUUUUAUAUUAUACAUAUUCCCAUUUUUAAUUAUAUGUUUGAAAGAAGAAUUAUUAACUAAUUUUGAAAAAAUAUUUUUGUAUAAUGUUUGUUUUUGUUUAAUUAUGGCUUUGUUUAUUUUAUUUUUACUUGGAUUAUUUUAAUGUGUGAAUAAUUUUAGAUUUAAAAAAAUAUGCUAAAGUUAUUUUAUAUUUAGUUUUAGAAAUGGUCAUUUGAUUUUUCCAUCUAUGUUUUUGGGGAGAAUUUCAAUUUUACCGCAAGUUUGAUACCCUUUUUCAAAUUUACCCUUAAAAUAACUAUUUCAAAAAUAAUUUAAAUUUAUGAUAAAAAUAUUAUAUUAACUCUCCUAAAUCAUUUAUAAAUGUUAAAAAAUCAUUUUUUAAACAUUUGAAGAAGUUAAAAAAUCCAACUCCACCCCAUAAAUAGUAAAGCUUAAACAAUAGUAACUAAGCCCAAAUGUUAGGAUAUUUUUGAAUGAAUGUAUUUUCAAAAAGUGGGAGCCAACAUAGAGUAUUUCAAGCAAUUUUUCAUUUUUUUUGAAUUUUUUUCAUGUUUACCAGUUGUUGGUACCAUUAUUCAUGUUUACAUUCAUUAAAGAGACAUUUUCAAAAAUAUUUUCUUCAUUAUGAGACAAAAGACUCUUAUACCAUUUUCGAAUUAUUCUUUUCCAAAUUCAAACUUUUUUAUAAAAAAAAUUUGAUUUUUUUUUUCAAAUUUUCUUUUUGAAACUAUUUUAAAAAUUUUUAAGAAAAAAAAAUCAAAAAGUUUAAGUGUUUAUUUAUAUAUUUAUUAGAAUCCUAAACCCUAAAUUUAGAUUAGUUAACCCCAUGGUUAUAAAUGUCUUUUUCCUUUCUUAAAAAUGAUGGUAAAAGUAAUUAAGAUAAACAUGAAAAAGUGGUAUUAAGAAUGUGGUAUUUUUGGCAAAUUUCCCAUGUUUUUUUUGUCAAAGAAAUCCAUCUAUGUUUUUCUUAGUAUUAAAGCAUGAUUACUUACCUAUUUUAUGAUCUUAGAUUUAUUUAUGUGUUGGUAGUGUUUAUUAAAUUGUCUAUUAGAAUUUAUUAGAUACAAUAUUAAUUAACCAAUUAUUAUUAUUAGGUUUUAUGAAUAUAUUAAACUUAAUUGCAAUGCAUGUUUAGGUUACUGAAUUUAACAUGAAUUAACAUAGGAAUUUAAUAUCCAUGAAAAUUUAUCUAAUCUAGUAAUUUAAAUUCCAGAACGUUGUUUAAUUUCUUUUAAUCAUUUAUCUAUUUUUAAUCCUUUAAUUUUUGUAAGAGUUUAAUAUUUAAUGUAUUAAUGAAUUAUCAUAUACAUUACUUAUACUCUUUAUUUAGUUUUGUGAAUAAACAAACCUAAUUUAUACAAAUUCUACUUUAUUCUUGAAAAUUUUGGCAAUGAAUGAUGACACAUAGAAAAGUAGAAUUCAGUUAUUAUUUUCUAAAAGUCCGCAGAUUAUCACCGAUCGUUAUUUUUUUGUCAUUUAUGUUUUUUCAGAAAACAAUAAAGAGUGAAUUGGGUCGAAAACCAAAACUAAGUCUGAAAUUAUGGCGAUCGACACAGUAAAAAUAGCAGAUGCACAAUAUGCAUUUCAUAAUCUAAAUUAUCUUUGUAUCCCUCUGUUUAUUUGCAUUUAGUUUAGGUUAGUACGAACAUAGGUCCAUGUUGUAGGUUUUUAAAGUAGUAGUGAAGAUUUGAAAAAGUUAUUGUGAAGAAUUGGUAAAGAUUGAUUGUACUUCUCUUUCGUACGACUUAUCAAAAACGAUUUAUCUGUGCAUGUGUUCUCUUUGCUUGUUUAUGUAGAUAUUUUAAAGCAUAUGUGUGUUAGAUUUCGUGUGUUAUUGAGACUGAUUAAUUCCUAAUGCUAUGAUCAAAACUCUUUUCCGUGUUCACGUGAUGGUUUCGAUAAGUUUUUGUCGCUAUCAUAAGGUCUUAUAUAUCUUCUCCUGUGUGAUCGACAUCAGAUUUGAGCAUUGGCGGUGUAGCUCUUGGUGACAACAAGAGGUUUAACUAAAGGUAUUCAGAGAAAGCUAGAUCAAUGAUUAUCACUUCUAGUUUUUACUGGAUGUUACUCAGGCGACCUUCUUUGGUGGUGUAACUCUUGCUUGUAGCGGAAAUCGCGGUUGUUUUAAGUGAUGCAACACAUCAGCAAUGGGUCGAUCAAAGAUACAUGUGCGAAAUAAAAAAAACCUUGCAUAAAACGAUAGUAGUCGCUAAUAACAAAACAUGGACUGCUAAUUUUAUAUUUACAUAUUGUUAACACAUUAUUUCCUUAUUAUUAUAAUACAAAAGAUAGAUAUUCUAAUACAUGACCUUAUAUAAAAUAUAAUAGUAGCUUAUCAAUAUAAAUUUAGGUAAAUGACGUAAUAUAAGAUAUGAUGGUUACAUGUUAGUUAAAUAAAAUUUAACGUUCAUAAUUAGAAAUAUUAUUUGUAAAUAGUAUUAGACAAACAUAUGAAUAAAUGCAAAUGUUAUACUACAUGAUGGUGUAUAGCCGGCUAAAACUGUAUGUGUCUUUUUAAACAUAAUUUUAGUUAUAACAAAACGAAACACAAAAAUACUUGAAAGUGUUGUUAACUAGAUAAAACAUUCAGAGCCCAGCUAAAAAUAAUACUAGCUCGUAAUAAGAAAGGUUAAACGUCUAACAAUGACUCAAUAUCACCAAUGUUAACUUUAACUUAGGCUGUGAAAAUGUGAAAUAUUGAUAUAAAACAGCAAUGCUGACUCAUUUUGUUUAGAAUAAAAAAAUCAAUAUAUUUUAGGUUGUUCUAUGCGAGUAAACAUAAAUCUCUUGUUUUGUAAUAAUUAAACAUUAGAUGUUGCUGUUAAAAUAUUUUUUUAAAUAUUAGAAAUUUAAGCAGUUUAACAUUAAAUUUGGCAAACAUCAUAAAAACUGUUUGAUCGUGACAGAUUUAUUCAUUAUUAACAUUUAUCUAUGAGACUUGCUAUUAAUCUUUAAUAAAAAUUUAUAUUGUACACACAUUCAUGAUUAAUAGCGAGGAGAUAAAUAAGUGGUUAUUUGUUAUUAAAUAAGUUAGCCAUUUAACAACAAAUCUCAAACUCUAAUUCAAAGUUGACAAUAACAUCAAAUUGUUAUAAUGUUAUUAGAUAUGUUAGUAGGUUAAGAUACAUGCUCAUAACGCCUUCCUACAGUCCCACAAUACUCCCUCACAGCAACCACAGACAUAUUCUAGAUAUACACCAUUUUCCCACAGCCUCAAUUCUUGCUUUACAUGUGGUAGGUUUCCAAGUUGCCUCUUCACACAUCAGUAUAACAUACUCCUUGGUCAAGAACAUGUGUUUUUUGUUAAUUAGUUUGAGCAAGUAGUCAACCUUUCUUUUUCAAAAAAAAGAAAGAAAAGUAGUCCACCUUAUCUUCCUUCCUCCUCGCCAGACAAAACAAUUUUGGAUCGUUGGUUGUUUCGUAUAAUGCAUCUAACUUGUGCAUACAUAGUGGUAAACAUCAAAGAUUUGGGAGAAAAAACUGAUUUUUCUCACAACCGGAAAAUAGUAGAGUUUUUUCUUACUGAAAAGGAAAGAGACAAAUGAUAUGGGUGAGUGUAUUGUAAAAUGUAAUUAAUAAAUGAAAAUUGCAUUCCCCACCCAUGCAUUCCCUAUAUAUACUCAUAUCUUGCUUAAAUUUUUACGGGGGCAACAUAGUAAUAUAAUUUAUUGAAUAGGGUUUAAUAGUGAAAUUAGGUAUUUUGCUAAUUAAUAUAUAAAGUUUUGGCAUGAGGUUCAAUUUUUAAAAAAUAAAAAAGGUGAAUUACAUCACAUCACUUACUAUGUGAUAUUCCAAAUUUAGUUUUUCAAACCAGUUAUUAACUUGCGUGUUUAGUACCACACUAAAACUUUAUCUUUGUAUUAAUUUAUAAAUGAUAAAAAUAAACAGCACACAAUUUAAUAGAAAUAACUUUAUACCAAAUAAAUAUGUUUAACAUAAUUUUUAUAAUAAAAUAUUUUUAAUGUGUCUAAUUAAAGCCCUUUACAAAUUCAAUUUUUAAAAAAUCAAAUAGAAACUUUUUUUGGAGCCAAGUUUCUCAUGAAAAUUUUGGAUUAAGAGUGUCAAAAUUUGCUCCCAGGCACAGUAUUCGAGCUAGUUUCCAACUUUCUGGUUUCUAGCACACUGUUUCUUCUUAAGCUGGUUUAUUACCUCUUUUAGAACGUUUUUUCAAAUUUUACCGCCUGGUAAAAGUCAAACCCGGGUUCAUACCCCCGACUUGGUCGGAGGGUCGCCGUUUCCGACUCCUUUUCACCGGAUUUCCACCCCCUUACCCUAUGGAAGACUUCUCUAUUCCUCUCAUUGACAUUCCUCGGCUCUCUCUCUCCAGCCCUCUCUCAAACAUGGAGCACCUGGAGGUGUCCCGCCCUUGAAUCCCUACAUUCUCCCUUGCUUACCUCACCGUUGAGGGACUAUCGGAAUUUUUGGUUACCACUUACCCACUAUACAGGCUCCUCCUGUCUCCUGUCGACUGCUUCGACUACUACCUCGUGCACUGAGGGGUUUGGGCUUACUGUGAUUGAGACAGACCUCCUUCUCUGUCUUUUCCAGUAGCUAUCUUUGUGUUUCUCACUACACUCCCUGGUUCUCUCUGCUCUAUCUCUCAGCAUGUCUCACCGCUACUCUAGAGCCGAAAAAGGAAAAGGCCUUGCGGAACACUCUAAGCCACGCCGCAAACUCCCUGUUCGUAUCCCAGCUGAAGGGAAUGUGGCACGCCUUGAAGACUUCAAUCUCACCCUUAUUGGCAGGGUUACAAACCCUGCAGCUCAAAAUACAAGAGCGUUGGUGGACUUCUUCCUUCACCACUGGCAUGUGGUGGGUACGAUAACAGGGCGCGACCUAGGACCUAAUCUGGUGUAGUUCAACUUUGAAUCAGAACAAGAUCUGCAGUCUGUCUUAACAAAAGCCCCCUACCACUUUAAACGCUGGAUGCUCCUCUUAGAAAGAUGGAAACCAGUUGUUUCAGAUUCCUUCCCAGCCAUGAUUCCGUUCUGGAUCAAAGUACAUGGUAUCCCGCUCCACUAUUGGUCACUAAUAACCUUAGACACUAUAGGUAGUGAACUUGGAGUGGUAGAGGCUAAAGAUGUGGAUCACUGCAGAGUAAGGGUCCUCCUAAAUGGACUAAAACCUCUGGAGAUGAAGAUGGAUAUCAGUCUCCCAUCAGGUGAUGAGAUUCCAGUAGAGCUCAAAUACGAAAAGUUGGAGAAACACUGCUUCCAUUGCUUCGCCCUCUCUCAUGAGAAGAAAGACUGCCCUCUACUUCCUCCUGCCCUUCGCUCCUCCUCUAGUCAUCUCGGAGUAACUCAACUCAACACUCUUGACCGUCUGGAAGCUAAUAGAAGGAGGCUGGAAGAUCGCAGACCUCCAAGACAGUUAUCCAUUUCGCGUGACAGGGAAUGGAGAAGAGAACCUUCUCACUCCCUUCACAGGAGCUCCGACAAGACCUACGUCUCUGACUAUAUCAGAAGGGACUAUAGGAAAAACUAUGACUCUCAGGGUUGCUAUGAGCGCGAUAGGACCUCUCUUGCAAGAAGAACUGAUGAUUAUUCACUCAGUCGCUCUGAAAACCAGAGGAACCAUACUGCUAGACCCCCGCCAGGGCAUCCCCCUCCUCCCACUUGGAGGCCUGUCACUAUGGCUGGGAACUUAAAGACUCCAACUCAGUCGAUUCAGUCUCAAGUUUCCCAUACCCCCUCUCCAAGACCCUUGAGGGAAGUUAUGCUCCCUCCAGGUAACGCGACAGCUCGAAACACAGGAGAUCAUGAACCUCACUCUAGAGAAAGACGCUCCGCUCUUGAACGUAUCUCAGUCCCUGGUCAUGAUACAGAUAGGACAGAGGCACAACAUGAAAAAGUAUCCUCUACGAAAUCUCCAGGAAGUCAGCAACAUGGAACAGAGGAAAGGCGUUCUGCUCUUGAACGUCUAACCUCACCUAUAACCCCAGGGCAUGGGGUCAUUGACUCUCAGCAAAUGCAUGACCCCUACCAUGAGACCCCAGAUGUACUUGCUCCUGGCGCAAGUGACAGACGCCCAGCUCGAGAACGUCUAUCGGGUCAACCAACACGAGUUCCUCUUCUCCACAACGGAGUGGCCAAUCUGGACUCGGGUCGCCUUCAGGAAGUAAACAUUCAGUACCUGGAAGACACUCUCCCACCUGUCUCUGGGGGUCUCUCUCUAGGCUCAAGCUCGAGGGCUCAAACUUUCAACUUUGGUACUGUUAAUGAAGCACUGCAUGGCAACUCACCUAUUCGUUCAUUGAGUGAAGAUCGCUUACAUGUUGCCCUCAGACUAGGACCAGUGUUUUCCGACCUUGACGAGCACUCUGUUCCCGGUAACUCUCAGGCGCCUCUACGUUCUGCAAUAAUUGCUCUCAUAGCAGCCAAGGCAGCCAAAGCAACUGGAAAAAAGAAAGUCUCCAGCCUUGCAACGAAAACAACUUCGAGGAAGAGAGGUAAUCAAAGCCCUCUCCCUGGUAUCUCCCUGAAGAAGAGAAGGGUUACCAAGAGCUCACCAAAGCGGCGGAGUAAGGUUGCGGGUUCCAAAGAAAAUGCUGUGGCACAAUCAAACUUAACCAACACUCAACCUAGAGCAAUAUUAAUCCCAGCGACAUCUAAGAGGGGAACGGAUUUUCGGACCGUUCCAAGCUCUCUUCCUUAGCAAGUAUGAGUUGGAACUGUCAAGGAAUGGGAAGCGACUUGACAGUUCGUCGUCUAAAAGAGAUCAAGAAUAAGAUCUCUCCUGACAUAUUGUUUCUCAUGGAGACGAAGAAUCAAGAUGAAGCCGUCUUCAAGCAUUUUCGGGGCUCAGCUUACACUAAUCACUACACUGUUCCACCCAUUGGCCUUAGUGGUGGCUUGGCUCUGUCUUGGACUGAUAACGUCCAUGUGGACGUGUUGUACUCUUCUCAAAACAUUAUUGACACUCACGUUCAAUUUAAUGGAAAAUCAUGUUUUGUGUCGUAUGUGUAUGGUGCCCCACAAAAGGAAAAUAGAACCCUCUUCUGGGAAAAACUCUCCGAGAUAGGAGACGCAAGAACCGAGGCGUGGCUCAUUACCGGUGAUUUUAACGAUCUUCUGGAUAACUCCGAGAAAUUGGGCGGUCCAGCACGAUGGGAAGGAUCGUUCCUCGCAAAAAAAAAAAAAAAAAAGAAGAAGGGGAAGAUGUUCUUCGCAUCACCAAAAGUCAGCGCGUUUCUCUCUUCCUAAUGAACCUUCAUUCUUCUGCCCCUUUUCUCAAUAUUUUCUCAAGAAAAUCUCAAUUUGUAUCAAGAAAAUACUCAUAAACACGAUGCUAAAAUCAUAAUCUCAUCUUCUGAUUCCUGAUGAUUACAUUAUCUUGAUUUUCGCUAAAGAUUAUUUCGUAUAGCUGUAUAUAAUAUACACGAAGACACACUCAUCAUACAUAGAUAUUAUGUGCAGCGUCUUUGAGAUGGACAAUUAUCAAGGAGACUUAAGGGACAUCUUACGAGGAAUCGAUGGCGGCCACGUGUUAUCGCCGGAACUUCCUCCUUCUCCUCCAAGAAUCUGGCCACUUCCACAACCAUCGCCGUCAGAUCUUCAUCACAUAAAUCCCUUUGGAGAUCCAUUUGUGAGCAUGACUGAUCCUCUCCUCCAAGAACUCAACGCCGUCACAAACUCUGGCUAUUUCUCCACAGCCGACAACAAUAACAACAACUGCUUCUUAGUUCCUAAGGUAUUAGAGGAUGAUCAUAUAAAGAGUCAAUGCAGUGUCUUCCCAAGAAUCCGGAUCUCGCAUAGUAACAUCAUUAGCGAUUCCUCUCCGUGUAAUUCUCCGGCCAUGUCGGCUCACGUUUUCGCAGCCGCAGCUGCCGCCUCGCCGAGAGGGGUCAUCAACGUCGAUACAAACAGUCCUAGAAACUGUCUAUUAGUCGAUGGUAACACGUUCUCGUCUCAGAUUCAGAUAUCUUCCCCUCCGAAUCUAGGUCCUAAGAGAAGGUACAUAUUGAAUUUUUAAAUCUUGAUCAAAUGUUUCAUUAAAUGUUUACACGAUAUAGAUAAUAAUAAUUCCCAAGAUGGUAUUAAUUUAUUAUAUAUAUGUAUUAACAAUAUAAUUUUUAUGCAAUAAUUUGCACCAGUUCUAUGAUAGCAUAUAGAGUAAAGUGAAUUAGGGUUCUAGGUAGCAUAUGCAUAUGCUAAUAAUAGAAUGAAUUAUGGUUUGUUUAUGUGUAUGUUAUAUGUACGCUUUUUAUUUUUAAGAUUUCUAGUUUCUUUUUGUUUGUCUUUUCUUAAUCAUGAAUUUUUUAUGUAUAUAUACAAAUACUAUACAUUAUAAUUGUUUAGAUUCAUGAGAGGAAGGAGGGUUGAGGUUGAAGACACAUGCAGGAGAAUCUAUGAACUGUCACAAUUAAAGAACAUAUAACUGCGUAGCAUCAUAUCUCAACCCCCAGUUGAUAAUAAUAAUGUCCCACUACCAAACUUAGCUUUCACAACUUACAUGUACACACGUGCAUGUAUAUAGAUAGAAAAAAAACUACACGUGUGUAAGUAUCCAUAUAUACGUGCAGGCAGAGUCAGGCAAAGAAGGUGGUGUGUAUACCAGCGCCGGCUGCGAUGAACAGCCGGUCAAGCGGUGAAGUGGUUCCGUCUGAUCUGUGGGCUUGGCGUAAGUACGGUCAAAAACCCAUUAAAGGCUCUCCUUUUCCAAGGUAUUGGUUUGCACACACUCAUUCAUCAGUAUCUAUCAUCAAACAAAGAUUCGAAAAAUAAACUUUCUUUCACCACCACAUUCUUCUUGGCUCAAGUUGUUACAAAGAUUCGGAUACUUUUAAGUAUUAACAACAUUUCUCUUGAUAAGUGUGACAUUUGGUCCAUAUAUAUACCCACCCGCGAAUUUGACAUUUGUGUUACGAACAUAAACAAAUUAAAUCACGUGGAGUAAGAUUACAAUUCAGUGAUAAUUUACCUUUUGAAAUUUAAUUAACGACUACAAACUAAAAGAGAUUCUUACAUCAUAUCGUUUUACUAAUUUCAUCCUUCGGUUUACAAUUUUACAGUUGAUAAAACAAUAAUGUUGAUGAAUUUUCUUGAUUCAAUAUGGUUUUGAAAUUUGACGGAUGAAUACUUAAUUAUAGUGUGACCAUUAUAUUCUUAUAAUUAUAGUGGAUUUGCUAAUCUUGAUGAUUACUUAAUUUUGGUUGUAUUCUCUCAGGGGUUACUAUAGAUGCAGCAGCUCAAAAGGCUGUUCAGCAAGAAAGCAAGUCGAAAGAAGCCGAACCGAUCCAAACAUGUUGGUGAUUACAUAUACUUCCGAACACAACCAUCCUUGGCCCAUUCAACGCAACGCUCUUGCCGGUUCCACACGCUCCUCCUCUAACCCUAAUUCCUCCAAAUCCUCAACCGCAACCGCUCCAUCCAAUGGCCCUCCAAACAACACCCACUCGCCUUCCCCCGCCUCUCCUUCUCCUCUGCCAGCCUCCGCCGUCAAGGAUGAACAAAGAGAAGAAGAUAUGGAAUUGGAAAACGUAGAAAACGAUUACGAUAAUCAGUUUGCUCCAUAUAGACCGGAGCUCCCCGAUCAGCAUCAGCCAGACGAUUUCUUCGCAGAUCUUGAAGAGCUAGAAGAAGAUUCUCUAAGCAUGUUUCUUUCUCAAGGCGUCGCCGGCUACGGGAGCAAUAAAACGACGGCGUCCAAUGGGAUCAGCAAUUUCGGCGGUUGGUCUGGGGCAGAUAAUAGUAACGACGACCGAGACUCAAGGUCGUUAUAGAAUAUAGAUAGUGUUAAUUACAGAAUGUCGAAGAUAUUAUUGUGUCACACUCUACGCGAGUACUAACAGAGUAUCUAUUUACUUAUUUACUAGUCUAAAAUCCGCACCUUAGGAUAAACAUUUUAUAUACAAAUUCUUUUUACUUAUUAUCAUUUGCUUAACAUAUUUUAACAUAUUACUAGAUCUUGACCUGCGCGACCGCGCACGUAUUUGUUUUCAUUUAUAUGUACGAAACAUUUAGUUUUUACAUUAUUAGUUAUAUAUUCUAUUAAAUAGAUACACAAAAUAAUAUUUAUCUAUUUUAAGUGGGUUCUUACGGAUUUUCGUACUUUUUAACUAAUUCUAACCAUUCUGUUUAUUUUUUUCUAAUUAAUUAGACAGCAUUUAUUACAAAAUAUAAAAUAAAACUUACCUAUUUGAAAUGUUUUAUUAUCUUUCUUUUUUCACUCUUUUUAACAACUUUAUUAAUUGUAUUUAUUAUAAUAAUUCAACACGAUUUAUUUUAAAUGUUAACAAUAAUAAUUUCACCAGUUUUAAAGAAAUUGCUUCAUUUGUGAUAAAAAUUCAAACCUGUUAAUAAAUAAAUUUUUUAUUUGUUUAAAGAAUCAGUUAAAUAUAUGCAUCCGAUAACCCACUCGAAUACGAAUUAAUUCUUUUUUUAUAUCGAGGUUUUUUGGUUUUAAAAUUAAACUCCAUUUAGAUAUUUAAAAUUUUUAAACGGGGUUCGAGUCGGAUCUUUCCGGAUUCGAAUAGCUUUGUAUGAACCUAAAAUAAUAUUCAAAUAACCCACAUGUUUAAAACUGUCAUCAAAUAAUUCAUAAAAAUAAAAAUAAAAAAACAACCAAGCUCUAGUAUAUAUUAUAAUAUAAACAUUUGUGUAUUCACAGAUUCAUAAUAAUGUUAGUUUACUUAUUUGUUAUCUCAUUAAUUUUUUCAAACCAUCACUUAUAUUUGUAGCUUUUUAUCUUAUAUAUUUAUGUCGGUAGAUUUGCGUUUGAUUAUUAGGACAUUUAGUAUUAGUUAUUGUUGGUAUGAAAAAUGAGCCACGUUGGCAUAUAUUCCUAUGAUAGAGUGAACCGGUUUGGUUUGAUUUUAAUAUGUGGUGAAUGAUUUAUUUAAUUACAGUCUGUUUGUUUAAGAGAAAGGAAUAUUCCUACGUAAACUCGGAUGAUAAUAGCUUAGACGUUAAUAAUGUAUAAUAAAUGAAAUGUUAUGUAAUUUAUGAUUUUCUAGUGAAGUCCAUUUUUAAAAUAUCACACAUAAAAAAAAGUUGUGACUUAUCUUUUAAUAGAUAAGAUGAAACAAAUUAAUAAAUAUACGUUGAAUAAUUGAAAAACUAUUAACUAUUAACUAUUACGUAUAUAAUUAUAUUAACACAAAUACAUAAAUUAAAGAAAUCUUGUUUGUUUAUUUACAAUCAUUUUGUAGUAAAUAAAUUUAUACAAUUAUUUUCUCUAUUUUUUAUGAUAUGUAAUUAAAUUUAAAUAAUAGUAACAUAAAAAUAUAUUAUAUUUUAAUAUGACUAUCUAUUAAAUGAAACUUCCUAAUCAUAUGAUUUUAUGAUUAUUUAUAUUUGAUAACAAAAUUUUAAACUAUUAAUCAUAAAAAAACUAUUGUAAAACUUUUAUAUUUUUAAUAAUUUAUAAUAUUCUUGAAAAUUUAAUAUAAAUUUGAAAAUUAAAAUAUUAAGUUCUCAAUACUUGUUCAAUGCUACUUAUUUAAAUUCGGUUUGUAUAAUAUUUAUGUCUUAUAUCUACAUGGACAAAACAAAAUUUGUUUUCGCUUGUAUAGUUUAGAACACUUUUAUUUUCUUCUUACACUCUCAAACAGUCUCUAAUAGAUCCGAGGUAAAGGUAGUUGUUUUGCUAUAUUAGUAUGUGAUUAAUAAUGAUUUAAUGAGCUAUUGAUGUUUAUGUAAUCAAGUUUUGCUGCGGGUAUGGGAGCAGGAAAAGUGGGGCGAAGGAAUAUUAGGUGGAUGGGACACAAAGUGAAUAAGUUCGUUCAUCUACACAGUUCAAUCACACCAGACGCACCCCAAUACAUAUCUCUGAAGCUAUUCACAUAUAUUGUGACCGCAAAGCACGACUAGUGAUAUAAUAUGAAUGGAAAAUGUAAUUACUCCUAGUUACUCUUAUAAUCUACCAAUCAGGAGAAAACAUCAUUUUCUUUAUUCUCUUCUAUUUUUGUUGAAAUGGAGGAAAAUGUUACACCAAUAUAUACGUAAUUAAAAUUUAUUCCACUUCUUUUUCUUUCUCAUUUACUCUAUUUUUUGUCUGUAUUCUAUUUUAAUUUUUUCACUUUUUCAUUUUUUUUUUAUUUUCCUCCCAUUUAGUCUAAGGUUUUGAUUAGUAAUUUUAGAGUAAAUGGGAGAAAAAUAAUAUAAAUGGAGGAAAAUGUUACACCAAUAUAUACGUAAUUAAAAUUUUUCAUGUUAAUUAUAUAGUUGGUGUAGCUACAAUUUUUUUUAAUAGGGUAACACAUUACAUCAUCAGAUAAUUUCUAAUUUUAUUAGAUAUGAUGAUCAACUACCUGCAACAUAUGCAAUAUUGAUGAACAGCUCCACAUAUAAGGAUUCCACGAUAAAAGUUUUUCCGAAACACUUGGAUCGACAGACGGUUCUGCAUGUACGACAUCCUCGAUGGACAGGCUCUCGCAGCAGACGACUACAACGAACGGCUCUGCCUACAGUACUCUGAAACCUCUAAUAAACUUCGCAUCAUAUAAUCUGCAAGAAAUUGCAUAGUUUAGGAAUCGAACUCUGGACCUGGAAGUAAAAACCUUUAAACCUUAACCAGUAGGCUACAGUACUUCCACGUACACACAUUUAUAUAUUUUGUCGCCAUACACGCAAUCACACACACACACAUAUAUAUGUUUUAUUAUACACAAUAUAUAUUGACAUAUAUAGGUUUCGUAUGGUAACGGACCACCGCCAUGCACCGUUGUUAAUAGUAACAAAAAUCUCUAUAUAUAAUUAUGUAUCUAUAUAUUUUUGUUACUAUUAAAACUUCACCGUAGUUAUUCUACCUCCGGGCGACGAUUUGGCACCAGAUAUCCGGAGGUGUGGAAAGAGCAGCUGUGAGAAGCGGAAAAACCAUCAAAAAACGACGAUUGUUCGUGAAGGUUUCCAAAGAAAGACCCCUUGGUUCUGGCGCACGUUACCAUUCGGAGUCAUAACUACAAGAUAUCUUUAAAUGGGUAUUUUGUUUGUAAGUGAAUUAUAUGAAAUGAUCUAUGAGUGUGUUAGACACACAGAGCAGCCUUUAUCACUAUGUUGUCCCGUAGGCCUGAGACUUUUAUCCGAGAUCCGGAUUCGAUCUGAGAUCUGAUCCGGAUCCAAUCCGAAAAUCCGGAUAUCCGGAGAGGUAGAAUCCGGAUCCGGAUAGUAAAAUGUUGGAUCCGUCAAAGAUAUAUAUAUAUAUAUAUAUAUACAAGAAUUCAGCUUCAACAAUUUGAGAAUUAAAUUUGAUUAUUUGUCAUGUUCUCCAUGAUUUUUAGUAAAUAUGUAUUUAUCAUAUUUAUGCUCAAUUAUUAUUUUGAAUAAAUAAUUUUAGUGAUUUAGCUGAUAAUUUAUCAUUAUCUUGAAAAACAAUUAACGUAACAUCAUAGUUAAAUUUAUAUUAUAUUUACUUUAGUAAAUUUAAAAUAUUAAAAUAUUAUAUAUAUGUUUAUAUUAUAUUUGGUUUAGUAAUAUUAACUCGACUCUAUUUUAAUAUCUAUAACACAUAAUAUAAAAUCAAUCAUUUCUCUUUAAAGGGUGUUAUUCAAUCAGUGAUUUAAAAUCAAUUGUCAAAUUUUGCAAUCAAUUAAAAUUUAAAAUUUAAACAUAGUUUUUAGUUAAUGAAUUUUAAAAUCUAUGCAGAAUACCUAAGAUUUUGAUUUCAAUAAUUUGUUUAAGAGAAUCCACCACAAAUAAUUUGAAAUCAAUUGUAAAUAUAAAGAACUUUGAACUUUGGAGGAUUUUCAUGUUUACCACUUAAAGAGACAUUUUCAAAAAUAGAUUUUUCAUUAAGAGGCAAAAAAACUCUUAUACCCUUGUUCUCUAUAUAUAAUAAAUUUUAUAAAAUAAUAAUAUUUUUUUUUAUGUUUUUGAAUUAUAUUUUUCAAAUUCAAACAUUUUUAUAAAUUGUUUUUUUUUUAAUUCUUUUCGAUUUUGUUUUCAAAAUUUCUUUUGAAAAUUGAAAAUUCUUUAUGAAACUAUUAUUUAAUUUUUUAAUAUAUUUUAAGUAUUUAUUUAUAUAUUUAUUAGACUAUUUAUAACUUUUAAUAUUUAUUUAAUUAUUUAAUAUUUAAAAAGUAUAAAAAUCAACAGACGGUUCUGCAUGUACGACAUCCUCGAUGGACAGGCUCUCGCAGCAGACGACUACAACGAACGGCUCUGCCUACAGUACUCUGAAACCUCUAAUAAACUUCGCAUCAUAUAAUCUGCAAGAAAUUGCAUAGUUUAGGAAUCGAACUCUGGACCUGGAAGUAAAAACCUUUAAACCUUAACCAGUAGGCUACAGUACUUCCACGUACACACAUUUAUAUAUUUUGUCGCCAUACACGCAAUCACACACACACACAUAUAUAUGUUUUAUUAUACACAAUAUAUAUUGACAUAUAUAGGUUUCGUAUGGUAACGGACCACCGCCAUGCACCGUUGUUAAUAGUAACAAAAAUCUCUAUAUAUAAUUAUGUAUCUAUAUAUUUUUGUUACUAUUAAAACUUCACCGUAGUUAUUCUACCUCCGGGCGACGAUUUGGCACCAGAUAUCCGGAGGUGUGGAAAGAGCAGCUGUGAGAAGCGGAAAAACCAUCAAAAAACGACGAUUGUUCGUGAAGGUUUCCAAAGAAAGACCCCUUGGUUCUGGCGCACGUUACCAUUCGGAGUCAUAACUACAAGAUAUCUUUAAAUGGGUAUUUUGUUUGUAAGUGAAUUAUAUGAAAUGAUCUAUGAGUGUGUUAGACACACAGAGCAGCCUUUAUCACUAUGUUGUCCCGUAGGCCUGAGACUUUUAUCCGAGAUCCGGAUUCGAUCUGAGAUCUGAUCCGGAUCCAAUCCGAAAAUCCGGAUAUCCGGAGAGGUAGAAUCCGGAUCCGGAUAGUAAAAUGUUGGAUCCGUCAAAGUCGAAUCUGGAUCCGGAUAUCUUGAUUUUUUAGUUCGGAUAUCCAGAUCCGUAAAUUUUAUUAAAAACUAUUUCAAAAAGUGAAUUGAUAAUAUAUCUAUUUACAAUUUUUUGUAAAAUUAUUAAACCCGCAAGUGCGAGCAAAAUACUUAGUACAAUUAUGAACACAUAGUAUAUAUGAUUUACAUAUGAUAGAGUUCCAACUAAUUAAAAUCUGUUACAAAUUAAUUAAUGUAUAUAACGAUACAUAUCUAAAUAUUGGAUUCAACCAAAUAUUCAAAUCAUAGUUCUUAUCUCUAAUUAUUAAAUAAAGUUUAAAAUAAUAGUAUAAAUUUAAGCUGAUGGCUUAUCACUCAAAAUUAUUAAAACAUGACAAAUAAGCAAAGUGACCUAAAAUUAUGGAAAACAAAAAAAAAAUCAGCAAAAUUACUUCUUAAAUAAUAAUAUAGAAAGAAUACGAAAAAUAAAUAUAUUAACCAUUAAAUCUGGUUGAAAGUACACAACAAUUAAGAAAAUACAAAUUCUAAUACAAACAAAAUAGAGCAAACGACGAUAACAACUACAACAAACAAAAAUAGAACAAGUCUAGCAUUCAUAGGCAAUUUCCAUAUUUCACUAACAAGAGUAACCUAAGUAGAUGAUGUAACGUAGUUAAAAUCUAUAUCAUCCAUUUCUCCAAGAACAAAACUAACAUUCAAAGGUAACUCCAUACUUCUCCAUGGGAUGCGCUCUCAAUUAAUGUUGAUUGAGAUGAAUUUUGUGAUUCAUUAUCAUCUUAUUCAGCAAGUCUCCCACAAACAGUUUGUUUCAAGGGAAUGUGAGAGAGACCAUUUGAAAACUAUUUAAAGGAAAUCAAUAGCAUAGAAAAUAAUAAAAAAACAUCUAAAUUUGAUUCUCUUAUUUGGUAAAAAAAUCAAAUGUCAUAUUAGCAAUAACAUUUAAGUUAUCCUUAGCUCCAAAUGCAUCUUCCCUGCCAUAAAGAUUUACUAAUGUUGUGGAGAAAUAUGAUAAACUAAAUGAUUGGGUUAUUGUUUUAUGUUGUUUUUUUGUCUAACAACUUUAAAAAAACUUUUUUUCUUAUGUUAAGAAAAAACUAUGAAGAACAUGACAAAUUUAGUAAAUCACUUUUUAAAUAAUAGUAUAGAAAGAAUAAGAAAAAAAUCUACUGAUCAUUAAAUAUGGUUGAAAGUACACAACGAUUAAGAAAAUACAUAUUCUAAAAUAAACAAAAUAGAGCAAACGCCGAUAACAAUUACAACAUAGAAAAAUAGACCAAGUCUACAUUCAUAGGUAAUCUCCAUUUUCCACCACCAAGAGCAACCUAAGUAGAUGAUGUAACAUAGUUAAGCUCUAUACCAUCAGAUUCUCUAAGAACAAACUAGCAUUCAAAGGCAACCUCCAUUGUUCUCCAUGGGGUGCGCUCUCAAUUGGCGUUAGUCGAGAAGAAUUUUUUGAUUCUUUAUCAUCUUCUCGAGCAAGUCUCCCACAAACAUUUCUUUUCAAGAGAAUGUGAGAGUGAUCCUUUGAAAACCAUUUGAAGGAAAACAAUAGCAUAUAAAAUAAUUCAAGCUUUUUUAAAUUUUAUUUUCUCAUUUGGUAAAAGAACAAAUUUCAUAUUAGCAAUAACAAUUAUGUUAUCCCCAGUACCAUAUGCAUCUUUCCUGCCAUAAAUAUUUACUAAAUUGUGGAGAAACAUGAUAAACUAAAUGGUUUGGUUAUUUUUUUUAUGUUUUUUCUUUGUCAAACAACUUUCGUAAAACUUUUUUUUCUUAAGUUAAGAAAAAACUAUGGAGAACAUUACAAAUCAGAAAAAUCAAUUCUUAAAUAAUAUUAUAGAAAGAAUAAGAAAAAAACCUACUGGUCAUUAAAUAUGGUUGAAAGUACACAACGAUUAAGAAAAUACAUAUUUUAAAACAAACAAAAUAGAGCAAACGACGAUAAGAGCUACAACAUAAAAAAAUAGAACAAAUCUAGCAAUCAUAUGCAAUCUCCAUAUUCCACCACCAAGAGCAACAUAAGUUGAUGAUAUAAUGUAGUUAAGCUUUAUACCAUCCGAUUCUCCAAGAACAAAACUAGCAUUCAAAGGCAACCUCCAUAGUAUUCCAUGGAGUGCGCUCUCAAUUAGUGUUGGUCGAGAUGAAUUUUGUGAUUCAUUACCAUUUUUUUUCUUCAGAAAGUCUCCUACAAACAUUUCAUUUCAAGGGGAUGUGAGAGUGACCAUUUGAAAACAAUUUAAAGGAAACCAGUAGCAUAGAAAAUAAUCCAAACACUUUUAAAUUUUAUUCUCUCAUUUGGUAAAAGAACAAAUUUCAUAUUAGCAAUAACAGUUAAGGUAUCCCUAGUACCAAAAUGCCAUAAAUAUUUACUAAAGUUAUGGAGAAACAUGAUAAACUAAAUGGUUUGGCUAUUGUUUUAUGUUGUUUUCUUUGUCUAACAACUUUAGUAAAACUUUUUUUCUUAAAUUAAGAAAAACUAUGGAGAACAUGACAAAUGAGCAAAAUCACUUCUUAAAUAAUAGCAUAGAAAGAAUAAGAAAAAAUAUCCAAGAGCAACCUAAGAAGAUGACAUAACAUAGUUAAUAUCUAUACCAUCUAAUUCUCCAAGAACAAAACUAGCAUUCAAAGGCAACCACCAUCCUUCUUCAUGGUGUGCUCUUAAUUAGUGUUAAUCGAGAUAAAUUUUGUGAUUCAUUAUCAUUUUUCUCAGAAAGUCUCCCACAAACAUUUUCUUUCAUGGGAAUGUGAGAGUGACCUUUUGAAAACCAUUUAAAGGAAAACAAUACCAUAGAAAAUAAUCUGAAAACUUCUAAUUUUUAUUCUCUUAUUUGGUAAAAGAACAAAUUUCAUAUUAGAAAUAUCAAUUAAGUUAUCCACAAUACCAAAUGCAUCUUUCCAGCAAUAAAGAUUUACUAAAAUUGUGGAAAAACAUGAUAAACUAAAUGGUUGAGUUAUUGUUUUUAUGUAGUUUUCUUUGUCUAACGCACUAUUACCAUCUUCUUCGUCAAGUCUCCCACAAACAUUUCCUUUCAAGAGAAUGUGAGAGAGACCCUUUGCAAACCGAAAAAAUAGCAUAUAAAAUAAUCCAAAAACUUCUAAAUUUGAUUCUCUCAUUUGAUAAAAGAAUAAAUUUUAUAUUAGCAAUAAAAGUUAAGUUAUCCCUAGUACCAAAUGCAUCUUCCCUGCCAUAAAAUUUAAUAAUUUUGUAGAGAAACAUGAUAAAUUAAAUGGCUGGGUUAUUGUUUUUAUGUUGUUUUCUUUGUCUAAAAACUUUAGUAAAACUUUUUUACUUAAGUUAACAAAAAAACUAUGUUGACCAUGACAAAUCAGCAUAAUCACUUCAUAAAUAAUAGUAUAGAAAAAAUAAGAAAAAAAUCUACUUAUCAUUCAAUCCGGUUGAAAGUACACAACGAUUAAGAAAAUACAUAUUCUAAACCAAACAAAAUAGAGCAAACGAAGAUAACAAACACAACAUAGAAAAAUAAAACAAAUCUAGCAUUCAUAGGCAAUCUCCAUAUUCCACCAGCAAGAGAGACCUAAGUAGAUGACGUAACGUAGUUAAGCUCUAUAGCAUCCGAUUCUCUAAGAACAAAGCUAGCAUUCAAAGGCAACCUCCAUAGUUCUCCAUGAAUUGCGCUCUCAAUUAGCGUUGGUCGAGAUGAAUUUUGUAAUUCAUUAUUAUCUUCUUCAGCAAGUAUACCACAAACAUUUCCUUUCAAGAGAAUGUGAGAGUGACACUUUGAAAAUCGUUUGAAGGAAAACAAUAGCAUAGAAAAUAAUCCAAAAACUUCGAAAUUUGAUUCUCUCAUUUGGUAAAAGAAAAAAAAAUUCAUAUUAGCAAUAACAAUUAAGUUAUCCCAGUACCAAAUGCAUCUUUCCUGCCAUAAAUAAUUACUAAAGUUGUGGAAAACAUGAUAAACUAAAUGGUUGGGUUUUGUUUUUUUUAUGUUGUUUACUUUGUCUAACAAUUUUAGUAAAAAAAAAAUUUACUCAAAUUAAAAAAAACUAUGGAGAACAUGACAAAUCAGCAAAAUCACUUCUUAAAUAAUAAUAUAGAAAGAACAAGAGAAAAUUUUACUGAUCAUUCAAUCUGGUUGAAACGAAAACUUCUAAUUUUUAUUCUCUUAUUUGGUAAAAGAACAAAUUUCAUAUUAGAAAUAUCAAUUAAGUUAUCCACAAUACCAAAUGCAUCUUUCCAGCAAUAAAGAUUUACUAAAAUUGUGGAAAAACAUGAUAAACUAAAUGGUUGAGUUAUUGUUUUUAUGUAGUUUUCUUUGUCUAACGCACUAUUACCAUCUUCUUCGUCAAGUCUCCCACAAACAUUUCCUUUCAAGAGAAUGUGAGAGAGACCCUUUGCAAACCGAAAAAAUAGCAUAUAAAAUAAUCCAAAAACUUCUAAAUUUGAUUCUCUCAUUUGAUAAAAGAAUAAAUUUUAUAUUAGCAAUAAAAGUUAAGUUAUCCCUAGUACCAAAUGCAUCUUCCCUGCCAUAAAAUUUAAUAAUUUUGUAGAGAAACAUGAUAAAUUAAAUGGCUGGGUUAUUGUUUUUAUGUUGUUUUCUUUGUCUAAAAACUUUAGUAAAACUUUUUUACUUAAGUUAACAAAAAAACUAUGUUGACCAUGACAAAUCAGCAUAAUCACUUCAUAAAUAAUAGUAUAGAAAAAAUAAGAAAAAAAUCUACUUAUCAUUCAAUCCGGUUGAAAGUACACAACGAUUAAGAAAAUACAUAUUCUAAACCAAACAAAAUAGAGCAAACGAAGAUAACAAACACAACAUAGAAAAAUAAAACAAAUCUAGCAUUCAUAGGCAAUCUCCAUAUUCCACCAGCAAGAGAGACCUAAGUAGAUGACGUAACGUAGUUAAGCUCUAUAGCAUCCGAUUCUCUAAGAACAAAGCUAGCAUUCAAAGGCAACCUCCAUAGUUCUCCAUGAAUUGCGCUCUCAAUUAGCGUUGGUCGAGAUGAAUUUUGUAAUUCAUUAUUAUCUUCUUCAGCAAGUAUACCACAAACAUUUCCUUUCAAGAGAAUGUGAGAGUGACACUUUGAAAAUCGUUUGAAGGAAAACAAUAGCAUAGAAAAUAAUCCAAAAACUUCGAAAUUUGAUUCUCUCAUUUGGUAAAAGAAAAAAAAAUUCAUAUUAGCAAUAACAAUUAAGUUAUCCCAGUACCAAAUGCAUCUUUCCUGCCAUAAAUAAUUACUAAAGUUGUGGAAAACAUGAUAAACUAAAUGGUUGGGUUUUGUUUUUUUUAUGUUGUUUACUUUGUCUAACAAUUUUAGUAAAAAAAAAAUUUACUCAAAUUAAAAAAAACUAUGGAGAACAUGACAAAUCAGCAAAAUCACUUCUUAAAUAAUAAUAUAGAAAGAACAAGAGAAAAUUUUACUGAUCAUUCAAUCUGGUUGAAAGUACAUAACAAAUAAGAAAAUACAUAUUCUAAAAAUAAACAGAAUAUAACAAACGACGAUAACAACUACAACAUAGAAAAACUAGAACAAGUCUAGCAUUCAUAGGCAAUCUCUAUAUUCUACCACCAAAAUCGAACUAGAUAACGUAACGUAGUUAAGCUUUAUACCAUCCGAUUCUCCAAGAACAAAACUAGCAUUCAAAAGAAACCUCUAUAUUUCUCCAUGGGGUGCACUCUCAAUUAGUGUUGGUCGAGAUGAAUUUUGUGAUUCAUUAUCAUCUUCUUCAGCAAGUCUCCUAAACAUUUCAUUCCAAAGGAAUGUGACAGUGACCCUUUGAAAACCAUUUGAAGGAUAACAAUAGCAUAGAAAAUAAUCCAAUAACUUCUAAAUUUUAUUUUUUCAUUUGGUAAAAUAACAAAUUCCAUAUUAGCAAUAACAGUUAAGUCAUCCCCAGUACCAAAUGCAUAUUCUCUGCCAUAAAGAUUUACUAAAGUUGUGGAGAAACUUAAGAAAAAAAGUUUUACUAAAGUUGUUAGACAAAGAAAACAACAUAAAAACAAUAACCCAACCAUUUAGUUUUUUAUGUUUCUCCACAAUUAUUAAAAGAAGAACAAAACCUUUACAAGCUGCAAUACAUCCCAUAACUUUAUAUAAUAUCUAUGCACACAAUCUCAGGUCGAUAGAAACCAAAUGUGAAAACCCCACAUAAGAAAGUAAAAACCUUAUGCACAAAAAUUGCUUUAGUCAGAGGACCUUUUAAGAGGUUUCUUUAAACUUCAACAACACAUAUUAUAAUACCGAUGCAUGAAAGAAAUGCUUGGAAAAAUAAAACACCCCAGUAAAAGUAGAAACCUUUUGUAACUUUAGUUCCAAGAAACUUAAGCAUAGACUCAAUGAUAUCUAGAAUAUGCAGAAAAAUAUUCAAACUGGAAUGCACUUCAAAAAGUUGAAGAAAAAAAUAUAGUUUAUGAUAGAAAAAAAAUGCUUGAAGAGAGAAAAAUAGUAGAUGUAGAUAAUUUGUUUAUGAAAGCUCAAUGUAUAUAGAUAACAGUAGAGGAAGAGGGUGAAAACAUUUUUCUCUUUGGCCAAUCACAUAAACGCACUAGAAAUGUUUGGAUUGUUUUUUUUACUUGUUAGUAUAACAACUAACAACACUUUAGUAUAUUAAUUAACAACAUUAAUUUAAAUUAUAUUUAAAAAAUAAUUGGAUUUAAAACAAAAAUUGUCUAAAAACUUUAGUAAAACUUUUUUACUUAAGUUAACAAAACAACUAUGUUGAACAUGACAAAUCAGCAUAAUCACUUCUUAAAUAAUACUCCCUCCGUUUUUUAAUAUAAGUCGUUUUAGAAAAAAAAAAGAAAGUACACAACGAUUAAGAAAAUACAUAUUCUAAACCAAACAAAAUAGAGCAAACGAAGAUAACAAACACAACAUAGAAAAAUAAAACAAAUCUAGCAUUCAUAGGCAAUCUCCAUAUUCCACCAGCAAGAGAGACCUAAGUAGAUGACGUAACGUAGUUAAGCUCUAUAGCAUCCGAUUCUCUAAGAACAAAGCUAGCAUUCAAAGGCAACCUCCAUAGUUCUCCAUGAAUUGCGCUCUCAAUUAGCGUUGGUCGAGAUGAAUUUUGUAAUUCAUUAUUAUCUUCUUCAGCAAGUAUACCACAAACAUUUCCUUUCAAGAGAAUGUGAGAGUGACACUUUGAAAAUCGUUUGAAGGAAAACAAUAGCAUAGAAAAUAAUCCAAAAACUUCGAAAUUUGAUUCUCUCAUUUGGUAAAAGAAAAAAAAAUUCAUAUUAGCAAUAACAAUUAAGUUAUCCCAGUACCAAAUGCAUCUUUCCUGCCAUAAAUAAUUACUAAAGUUGUGGAAAACAUGAUAAACUAAAUGGUUGGGUUUUGUUUUUUUUAUGUUGUUUACUUUGUCUAACAAUUUUAGUAAAAAAAAAAUUUACUCAAAUUAAAAAAAACUAUGGAGAACAUGACAAAUCAGCAAAAUCACUUCUUAAAUAAUAAUAUAGAAAGAACAAGAGAAAAUUUUACUGAUCAUUCAAUCUGGUUGAAAGUACAUAACAAAUAAGAAAAUACAUAUUCUAAAAAUAAACAGAAUAUAACAAACGACGAUAACAACUACAACAUAGAAAAACUAGAACAAGUCUAGCAUUCAUAGGCAAUCUCUAUAUUCUACCACCAAAAUCGAACUAGAUAACGUAACGUAGUUAAGCUUUAUACCAUCCGAUUCUCCAAGAACAAAACUAGCAUUCAAAAGAAACCUCUAUAUUUCUCCAUGGGGUGCACUCUCAAUUAGUGUUGGUCGAGAUGAAUUUUGUGAUUCAUUAUCAUCUUCUUCAGCAAGUCUCCUAAACAUUUCAUUCCAAAGGAAUGUGACAGUGACCCUUUGAAAACCAUUUGAAGGAUAACAAUAGCAUAGAAAAUAAUCCAAUAACUUCUAAAUUUUAUUUUUUCAUUUGGUAAAAUAACAAAUUCCAUAUUAGCAAUAACAGUUAAGUCAUCCCCAGUACCAAAUGCAUAUUCUCUGCCAUAAAGAUUUACUAAAGUUGUGGAGAAACUUAAGAAAAAAAGUUUUACUAAAGUUGUUAGACAAAGAAAACAACAUAAAAACAAUAACCCAACCAUUUAGUUUUUUAUGUUUCUCCACAAUUAUUAAAAGAAGAACAAAACCUUUACAAGCUGCAAUACAUCCCAUAACUUUAUAUAAUAUCUAUGCACACAAUCUCAGGUCGAUAGAAACCAAAUGUGAAAACCCCACAUAAGAAAGUAAAAACCUUAUGCACAAAAAUUGCUUUAGUCAGAGGACCUUUUAAGAGGUUUCUUUAAACUUCAACAACACAUAUUAUAAUACCGAUGCAUGAAAGAAAUGCUUGGAAAAAUAAAACACCCCAGUAAAAGUAGAAACCUUUUGUAACUUUAGUUCCAAGAAACUUAAGCAUAGACUCAAUGAUAUCUAGAAUAUGCAGAAAAAUAUUCAAACUGGAAUGCACUUCAAAAAGUUGAAGAAAAAAAUAUAGUUUAUGAUAGAAAAAAAAUGCUUGAAGAGAGAAAAAUAGUAGAUGUAGAUAAUUUGUUUAUGAAAGCUCAAUGUAUAUAGAUAACAGUAGAGGAAGAGGGUGAAAACAUUUUUCUCUUUGGCCAAUCACAUAAACGCACUAGAAAUGUUUGGAUUGUUUUUUUUACUUGUUAGUAUAACAACUAACAACACUUUAGUAUAUUAAUUAACAACAUUAAUUUAAAUUAUAUUUAAAAAAUAAUUGGAUUUAAAACAAAAAAAUUCUACAAUCUAAUGUACACAAACAAAAAUAACCAAACCAAUCAUGUAUGAUAACCGAACCGACUAAAUAUUCUACAUAAAAUCACAUGUUGAUUUAUUUAAUUUACAAAUAUUUAUACUUGUGCAUGAGCACAGAAAAAUCACCUAGUUAUCUUUUAUUAAUUAAAUAUUUUUUCUACUAACCUUUGUCGCCAAUUGUUUUGGGGGGAAAUUUCAUGUUUACCACUUUCAUGGUACUUUUUCAUCUUUACCACAACUUCAUUAAAUGGCAAAAGACUCUUAUACUAUUUUCUCUCUAUAUAUAUAACAAAUCAUUAUUUAAAUAAAAUAUAUUUUUUUCUGUUUUCGAAUUAUAUUUUUUCAAAUUCGAACUUUUUUAUAAUUUUUUUUUCAUAAUUGUUUUUGAAAAUCGAAAAUUAUGUUUGAAACUAUUUUGGGAAAAUUUUACUUAUACACAUUGUUUAGUACCAUCAUUCAUUUUUACCACCAAUAAGAGGACAUUUUCAUAAAUACCUCAAUCAUUAAUGUGUAGAAGACUAAAUUAACCUUACCUUAUUUUUCCUAACUAUUGUCUUCUCUCUCGUAAGGAUCCGGCGACGAGAUCGAGCGUCUUCUUUCUCUCACAUAGCCGGCAAAGAAAUCAGAUCCUCAAAAAAUCAGCUCACACAAUCAGCUCCUCACGUAAUCAGACGGCAACACAAUCUUCUGUCUCUCAAGUAGCUAGCGACACAAUCACGUCUGUUUGGGAGACUCCCGAUUCAAAGCCUCAAAAUGUCAGCUCCUUUACACAAUUCACAACUUGUAUGUUUCUAAUUUGUGUAUUUUAUUGUUUGUCUCAAGUAAUUUUUUUUAUUUUGUUCUUCUGGUUAUAAAAAAUCAAAGAAUGUUGGUUUACACUUGUCAUCUGAACUGUUCGAUCUAAGAGAAAGAGCUUUGAAAGUGAACAUUGAGUUUUUGAAAAAUUAUAACCUCUUAUAAAUCUAGGUUUCUAGUUAUUUCUAGUUCUCCUGAUUUUUUCAAGAUCCGUCCGUAAAUCGCCAUCUACCUGGUAUAGUCGGUACUACCGAUGGUACGUGUAAUUGAGUAUGAUUUAUUCCCUGUAUAGGAGAGUUUUGUGCUUCAGCCCAGAGUAAUGAUUCUGUUUCUGCCAAUUUGAGAGUAUCACUCGGAUCCAUAUCCAAAUUGCUAAAAACUUUAUUGUUUCUUCCUUUCCAUAUAUACCAUAGAAUCAAUGCAAAAUGAUGAUCUUCCAUUUCCGGGGAGACUCGCCAAAAUAAAUGAUCCAUAUUUAAACAGCGAUUGAGUGAGAAAGAUAUCCGGAUUCGUUGGGAUUCGUAAAAGUGCCCAGACCUGGAUAGCCGGUGGACAUUCAAAGAAAACGUGAUUUAUGGACUCCUCAGGAGCUCCACAUCGGUCGCAAAUUGUAUCCCCUUGCAUUCCUCUUGACCUCAAAUUUUUCUUAACCGCUAUGCAUCCUGCCAGCAGUUGCCAUAAAAAAUGUUUCAUCUUAGGUGGGCAGCGUACUUUCCAGCAGAAAGCCUUCAGCGGGGUGACCGAAGGACCAUACACUGGUGAUAUUAUUUCUCUAUCCGGAUACACUCGAUCCACUUGAUAUCCAGAUUUAACCGUGUAUCUCCCAUUGUUUGUAAAAUGCCAUCCAUCUCGACAGUUGUUUCCUUGCACUGCGUGCGAGACUGUCCGCCCUUGAGUUAUGCGUCCGUGGUAUAUGAAUAAUCUCUGAACUGUUGAAACUUCUCUUCAAAAAUGUUAUGUCUUUCAAAUAACUUGCAAAAGCUGGCCACUCCUCUGGUUCCGAAACCAUCUUUACCAACUGAGAAUAAUCCGUUGCAAAUGUAACCGAGAACUGUUUAAGAUUCCUCAUGCAUUCCAUUCCCCAUAUGAGAGCCUCUAUCUCCAAAUGUAGUGGCGACUGACUCGCUCUUGUAUUCCUUGCUCCCAUUAAUCCAUCAAAACAUUCCAAGGUACUAUGCCAUCCUUGCCCUGAUUUUUCUUUAAACCAUGAUUAAAAGUUCUCAUCAUCGUUUUAUAAAGUAAUAUACUUGAUAAGUUUUGUUUUAUUUGUUUUGCAGUUAGAUAGCAAUGAAUUUUGCACAACUUUGAGAUUGCAUGUGAGGAUUUAUUAUGCUAGAAUAGAACCACCAGACAAUCCAAAAGUGAUUAUCCACCAUUCAAAUAUGGAUAUGUCUAUAAGAUUGCUUAUAUAUUAGGAAAGAAAGAGUUUGUUCAGAUAGAGAACCUACACAUUAUAAAUGUUGUGAAACUGGCUAGAAGGACAAGUGUUCAACUUUCAGGGGGUUUGUUCCAUUGUCUCAUGCAACAAAGAAUACUGACGAAGGAGGAAGAUCUCUGGUUUACAUUCUCUGAUCAACCUAUGAGGUUUUUAAUGUGGAGAUUUUUUUUGACAACAUGCUUAGCUUGUGAGGAAAAUCAAACAAAAAAAGAGGCGUUGUUCAAAAAUUUGAAGAAACCUUAUCUUUGGAUGCUAAGCAAAGGGGGACAAGUAGACAAUGAGAAGGAUUAUCGUGUAUUUGGUGAACUUUGUUUAUAGAACUCUGAAUACUGUAUGAGUUUGUGAUUUAGGUUUAGGAGUUUAUGACUCUUCCUUAGUUUAUGAAGUUAAUAGGUAAAUUUGUAUUUCACUAACUUCAUAAUACCUUAUAAAAAUGGUUUAUAACUCUUACAAAAUCAUUAAUAAGAGUUUGUGAAAUAAAGAAUAAUAAUACAUAAAGAUUCAUAAAAUUUUUUAAAGGAUUGUAAAGGUUUUUUAAGAAAUUAUAAGUAUCUAAACAAAUGCAUAAAACAGGGGCAAACGCACAGCCAACAUAAAAUGGGUGCAUGUACACCCAAAAUUUCUUUUUACAAUUUUUAUCUUGUAAGGUAAAAUUAUUAGAUAAAGCAUAAAACUAUAUUUUUGCACCCAUUGAUUCAUAAUAUAGACGUAGUGCACCCGUCAAUUUUAAUGUCUAGAUUUGACACUGCUUCUAGAAUGUGUUAUGUAUUAUACAGAAAGUAUAAGGGCUUAUAAAGUAUCAUAAUAAGUAAUUACACAUUUGUAAUAUAUUUCUUAUAUGGCAUUAUUAUCAAUUUUAUAAGAAUUUAUAAAAUGUUAUAAAAGUUCAUAUAAUAAUGUAAAAGGGUUUAUAAAAACAUUAUCAAUAUUUAUGAGAACAACUUAUAACCCCUUAUAAACUCAGUUAUAAGAUCUUAUAAUGGUUUAUGAAAUGUUAGGAAAGAUAUUAGGAGGUGAUGGAAUCUUGGAUAAUGCCCACACUUGACGUGCUGGGGGACAUUCAAAAAAUACAUGGUUUAUUGAUUCUUCCGGAUCUCCGCAUCGAGCACAACAUAUAUCUCCGUGUAUCCCUCUUGUCUUUAGAUUUUUCAUUACCGAUAUACAUCCUGAGAGAAGUUGCCAAAAGAAAUGCUUUAUUUUCGGGGGGCACCGCACUUUCCAACAGAAAGCUUUAAGUAUAUCCACCGUGGGGCCAUAAAAAUCUGGUGGUUUUCCCCUAUUAGGAUAGACUCGUUCCAUUUGAUAACCUGAUUAGACCGAAUAUUUCCCAUUGUUAGUAAAAUGCUAUCCAUUCCUAUCCUCAAUCUGAUUCCUACUUAAUGGAAUACUUUCAAUAAUUUUUGCAUCCUUAGGAUCCACUAGAGCCUUGAUUGCCUGUAAAUUCCACCACUUGACGUGCUGGGGGACAUUCAAAAAAUACAUGGUUUAUUGAUUCUUCCGGAUCUCCGCAUCGAGCACAACAUAUAUCUCCGUGUAUCCCUCUUGUCUUUAGAUUUUUCAUUACCGAUAUACAUCCUGAGAGAAGUUGCCAAAAGAAAUGCUUUAUUUUCGGGGGGCACCGCACUUUCCAACAGAAAGCUUUAAGUAUAUCCACCGUGGGGCCAUAAAAAUCUGGUGGUUUUCCCCUAUUAGGAUAGACUCGUUCCAUUUGAUAACCUGAUUAGACCGAAUAUUUCCCAUUGUUAGUAAAAUGCUAUCCAUUCCUAUCCUCAAUCUGAUUCCUACUUAAUGGAAUACUUUCAAUAAUUUUUGCAUCCUUAGGAUCCACUAGAGCCUUGAUUGCCUGUAAAUUCCACGAGCGAGAUUCCGAAUUAAUGAGGGAAUCCACUGUGAGGUCCGGAUAAAUGUUGUGAAAAUUUUUGUUUGCUGGUCUCGGGCGAGUGGCUGGGAUCCAAAGAUCAUUCCAUACAGAGAUAGACGAACCUGUUCCCACCUUUUUAAUUAGUCCUUUACAAACCAGAGAUCUAGCGGAAAUAAUACUCCUCCAGCCAUAUGACGGGGAAUAAGAGCGAAUCGGUUCCAGGGGUGAAGCAUUCCUGUAAUACCGUCCUUUGAAGACUCUUGAAAAAAGAGUAUUUGGCUUCUCAAUAAGCCUCCAUAGUUGCUUUCCAAGCAUUGCCGUUUUAAAAUCAAUAAGAUCCUUGAAGCCUAAACCACCAUUAUCUUUGGUUUCGCAUAAUUUAUCCCAUGAUGUACAAUGCAUACCUUUUGAACUUCCUCAUGGGCUCCACCAAAACAGAGCUACUGCACUUGUUAAUUUUUUAAUGGUAGCCUUCGGUAACCGAUAAACAGACAUAACAUGGUUUGGCAGGGCCGUAACCACCGAUUUAAUAAUUACCUCUUUUCCUCCUUUAGUAAAAAAUCGAAAGGUCCAUCCAUUAACCCUAUUAUUCAAGUGUUCCUAUACAAAGCCAAAUACUUGUACCUUAGAUCCUCCAAGGCUUUCUGGUAAACCUAAGUAGGAUCUCAUGCCUCCUAUAUUUUGAAUUCCCAGAACAUCCCUUAAUUCUUGACGACUAGCUUCUUCAAUCUUAUGCCCAAAUUGAAUUGAAGAUUUCUAGAAAUUAAUUUGUUGCCCUGAGACAGCCUCAUAUUCCUUUAAAAUCCUGAGAAUGGUUUGACACUCCUCCUUAUUUGCCUUACAAAAGAAAAGACUAUCAUCUGCAAAUAGCAAAUGAGAGAUUGCUGGACACGCUCUUGCCACCUUUAAACCAGUAAGUUGUUUCACUCUCUCCGCCUUCUUAAUAUUCGCGAUUAAUGUCUCAGUGCACAUAAUAAAUAAAUACGGAAACAGAGGAUCCCCUUGUCGUAAGCCCCGUUGAGGGAUAAUAUGACCUUGUGGCUGACCAUUGAUAAGUACCCUAUAUUGAACCGAAGAGAUACAUUCCAGCAUCAAGUUAAUCCAGCGAGGAUCAAAUCCCAUUUUGUGAAGGAGAGCCACAAUAAAGUUCCACUCGAUCCUAUCAUAUGCCUUACUCAUAUCCGUUUUGAUUGCCAUAAAUUUAUUCUGACAUGACUUAUUAGUCCUCAGUCCAUGAAACAUUUCCUGCGCUAUAAGAAUAUUAUCCGAUAUUAACCUCCCCGCCACAAAUGCCGAUUGUGUCUCCGAAAUUAGCCUUGGUAAACAAAUUUUCAAUCUUUGACACAAAACCUUCGAGAUAAUCUUGUAACCAACAUUACAAAGACUUAUCGGCCGUAAUUCCGUCAUCCUUGUGGGUCUCUUGACUUUCGGAAUCAUACAUAUAUUAGUAAUGUUUAAACGUGGAUCCAUAUUUCCUGUAAGAAGGAAAUUAUUCACCAUCUCAACCACAUCUCUCUUAAUUAUAUGUCAGGAAUGCUGGAAAAAAAGAGCUGUCAUCCUAUCCGGUCCUGGCGCUUUCUCCAGAUGCAUCAUGAAUAAAGCUUGUCGGACCUCUUCCUCCGUUGCCAUUCUCAGUAAUAUUUGAUUCAUUUGGGGAGAAAUAGAUAGUAUUAUCUCUUCCAAAAAACUAUCAAAUUCCGUUGGAUCCGUGGUCGUGAACAGACUCUCAAAAUAAUCAACUGCCACCUUCUCAACUCCUUUCUCAUCUGUUAUCCAAUUACCCGUUUCAUCAUGGAGUCCCACUAUUUUGUUACGAACCCUACGCUGCUUCGUCAAAGCAUGGUAGAAUUUAGUAUUCAGAUCUCCAGAUGAGUACCACAUAUUCCUGCUUUUCUGAUGCCAAUAUUCCUCCUCAUCCUUAUAGGCUUCCUGCAAUUUCCUAGAAACCUCAAUAAUCUCUUCUUGUGAUCUAUUAUUAUCCAUUUGAACUUCCUCCAGUGCUUGUUGAAGCUCUUGGAUUUUAUCCUUUCCAUAUGGUUGAUUAUCUUUACGCCAUGAAGAUAUUUCAUGACGACAAUUAUUAAUUUUUGUUACAAGAUCGCCUAAUUGUCCUUCCUGACUCUCCGUCCAACCGGCUACAAUCGACUCCAUGAGGCCCUCUUGACCAAUCCAUCUUUUGUCAAACCUAAAUUGCCCCCUUUUUUUCCUUGAAAAAUUAUCCCCUAAGAAAGCAACCAUUGGACGAUGGUCAGACCCCACCAUCUUUAGAUACUCUGUAUAAGAACAUGGAAAAAGCGUGUGCCAUUCCUCAUUUGCCAAAGCCCGAUCCAAGCAACAUCUGACCGUCACUGCUACUUUUCCUUUGCCCCUUCUUCUUUGCCAAGACAGUGUAUUACCUCGAGCCGGAAAUUCUAAUAAGCCACUAUUCCUUAUCAUAUUAUUGAAAGGGAUAAAUGAAGUUGUACAACGUAGAGAGCCCCCAUCCUUUUCAUGAUUCUCAGUGAUCUCGUUUAGAUCUCCAAUAAUAAACCAAGGUUCCGAAUGUGCUAAUCCAAAUUGAGUUAAUCUCUCCCAUACCUGUUCUCAUAGCUUUUGCACCGGAUCCCCAUAAACAAAAGUAAGAAAAACUUGUUUUCCUUUGACCACCGCCUCAAUAUCUAUCAUUCUGUUGCUAGAAUAUAGAUUUUUAACUUGAUACUCAUUAUUAUAAAAAAGAGCUAAACCACCGCUCCUCCCGUUUGGAUCCACAGUAGCCAAACUAUUAUAUCCAAAGUGUGAUUGAAACCUUUGUACAAAUUCGAAAUCCUGUUUCGUUUCAGAUAAGAAUAAAAAAUCUAGUUUAUGUUUAUGCCAUGUCUCUCGAAGAUAACUUAUGGUCCAAUGACUCCCAAGUCCUCUACAAUUCCAGCUUAAUAUUUUCAUAUAUAAAAAUAUUUGUAUUGCUCCUUCGAGCCAAGAGAUACAUGUUCAAUGAUACCCGAUAAUCGUAACCACAAAAGCCCACAGCCACCAUAUUAGAACCACUUUCAAGCAUUCACCAAACCUAUUUAAAAUAAACGCACGCCGUCUUCGUUCAGCAUUCUGGUGAUAACCAUUGUACCCAUUUUUUCCAAAGAAACGCCAGUCUCGAAUCGAGACCAUGAUCUUCAUUUUAUUUACCAAAGCCAAGUUUAAAUUAUAUUCUAAUAUCAGUAAGCUCCAAAACCCCCAAACGUGUCCAACGAAAAAAAGUGUUGCCAAUAGAAUUACACUAGGCCACUCAUGGUAUAAUACCUUAUAAAAAUAAAUUCUUAUAAGCUUCAAGUUAACUAUAACUAAAAAUUCAUUCCAGCCAGUGUGAGUAUAAUUUCUCCUCAUUUCCACAAACCAAUACCUUAACCACAGAUUCCAUAUAAGUACCAAGGAGAGACUCUUUUAAGUGUGGCCAAUUGCCUAGUAAAACACUUGAUUCCAACAUAUAUGCAUACUACACUUUUGUAUGAAGUCUGACAUCGAAACCUACGAUCACAGCACCAAUAUUUGAUCUAAUCUUACUCCCACUCCACAAAAUAAGGGUCAAAUGCAUCCACUGCAUCAACCGUACCAAUGAAAACAUCCCAUAUUUACCAGUAUUCAAGGACGUUUCUGAGCUUGUAAUAUUGGACAAAGACCAAAUGCCCCACCGGAAGUAUGUUCUUGAAAGAGACAUAUUGCACCCAAAAUAAAAACCAGCAAAAUCCAUUGUAUUCCCAAACAUUGACAAGACGACAUUACAUACCGUAAUCGAUAGACUACUAUGAUAACAAAAAACUGCAUCAAAAUAACAUAAAGAACAUUUGUUAUCAUUAUCUCUACCCAUUUGCACCGUCUGUUGCGAUGCACUCUUGUCCCACCUGUGUCCAUAAUCCAACACCACAAGACCAAACCAAAUAGAAAACCAUAUGUGCUUAGGUCCACCACCAGUAGCAUACAUCAUUCUCCUCGUCAAGAGACAUGACAGAACCGCAACAAAACCAGACUCUGUAAGCACACACCACCAACAACAUAAAUCACCAUUUUUAUUCCAAUACUUGAAAAAUAACAAUAACGACAAUACGAUUGUGUCUUUAUUCCAAAUCCUUAGUAAGCACCAAUGAUCAUCCUUAACCCAACAUAUCCGUGUGGUUUCCUUCCAUUCCAUCUUGCACUGUAGGUUUAAUGAGACCAAGUGCAGAAUCUGUUGUGGUACCAAUAAUAAAACCUAUAAAUUCCAAUGUACCAUAAUAUAACCAAAGAGCCUGAAAACUAGUGUGUUAUGAGUAAACUGCCACUGAAGCUCAGCCCACUGAAGCUCAGCCCACUGAAGGUAACUAUACAAGGUAUCCAUAACACCGUUGAAGUAAAAACCAAACAAAGCAGUUUUAUUCAAAUGCAUAAUCUUGAUAUCAAGACUUGCAGUAAACCAAUGGCCAUCACAAAACCAAUAAACCACAAUGAAAAAAUGAGAAAAGAUGCUCAUAGAGCUUACUGAGCCACAAAUACACUGAGCCACAAACACACAGGCAAACAACAUACUCAUAUAGCUUAUUAAAAUUUGAAAAUUUGAAAAACCAAACACCACAACCUGCCACCGUAGCUUGACUUCCUUAUCAGACUGAUCCAUAAAAGUAUCAUGGUUUGGAUGAGCUCUGAUGCCUGCUUUAGCAUCUUCAGCAGACGUACGUUUGUGAGGUAAAACGAACCCUUGCACCAGUUUCUUCAUAAUGGAUCGACCUGCAACAGUCUGGUUCUUAAACAGAACCUUUCCUGGCCCCUGUUUCUUCUCCUCUCUCUCUCCAAUCUGGUUAUCUUCGAGUAUCGCUAUGAUCCUGAGCCACAUUAAUAACCCAAUCCAAACUUUCCAGGCCCUACUUCUAGCAAAUCGUUGAUUCCUUUGUCGACACGCCAAGUAAAUCCAAACGAAUCUCCUAUUGAAUAGAAGAAAAAUCAUACCUUUAUUAUCCAAGCCAUCGCCACUUGAAGACCCGAGAUCACAUGUAUCUGUGUAAAUCGUAGAUCGUAAUAUCUUCGAGCCCCUAUCAAUUUCGGUCUUUUUCAUAUUCCCCUGCAACCCAAUCAAUCCUGAUUGAUCCCCUCGGAUCAGAUCAUCGUGAACUUUUCCUUGUUUGCUAAUACCGUAAUCCUGAUGAAGAUUCGGUAUCUCAUGUGCUAUUCCGACCCUCUUUCUUCCCGGAUCCCACUCUCGAAACACCAUCGGAACCCUAGAUCUAAAUCACCUUCGUCAUCGCCACCCAGAAAAAAAGCUUUCAUACGUACUAGUUUGUUUAUAAGGAAUUACAAAUAAUUUAUAAAACCUUAUAAAAUCCAAAAAACUUAUAAAAUAUUAUAGAAUGUUGACAAACUUUAUGAAAUAAAUUUAAAAACUCUUAUAAGAGUAUAUAUAAAAUCAUUUAUAAGUAUUUAUAUAUUAUUCAUAAGGUUUAAAAGUCAUUUAAUUCCGGAUACAAUGUACUAUUCCUCUUCUUGUUCUCUCUUUCGUAUAAGUUUCCUUUCAUGUAAUUCAUUUGGUAACAUGAGUAUUGUCACAAAAUAUAGACCAUUCAAUGUCCACCUAACCAAGCUUGAUUUUUGUAACAAGAAACAAAAUGUGGUAAAAAAGAGUAGUCUUAAUUACUUAGCCGCAAAAUAACAGGACAUUUCAUGGAAAGAGCAAGACUAUGAGUUAAGAGGACUAUAUACGGCUCUCAUCAAAACAUUAGAGAUAAUUCCUUGUUUUCAACAAAAAGUUGUUAUUACUAACAUAAUCUGAGAACAUCAAGGCUUCUUCAUAUCUCACUCUUCUAUAAAAGAAACGAUUGGAACCAAGCUCACUUACAGGUCCAACUAAUCUCUUCAACUAUGCAACUCGUAAGAGAGAUAUACAAUUGUUUUGGUAUAAGAGAUAUUUGAAGAAGAUGAAAGAGAAGAAUGUAUUAAGAAGCCAACUCUGCAACCUUUAUAAAGCCUUAUAAAUAUGUAAUUCUUUGAUGGCACAAACCACGUUCUUGUUCAGAGUCCCUCUUGCUUCUUCAAACAGCUCACAAACCUCGUCGAUCUUCAAAAUCUGAACGCAAGCCAACCAUAUAUUAUUCCUACGCAUCAGCACUCACUUCCAAAAACAAGAUUCAAAAAUAAUAUGCUUUCCUAACUCAACAAACUCAUGCUCCAUCUCCACUGCUUCUUUAGAUAUUAUACACAAAACAAGACAUAGAAAAAAUGAAUCACAUAAAGUACCAAACAGAACGUUACACUACCAAAACACUAACCUUCCACCUUAUAUACUGCACAUACUAAACCUUGCUAGUCAAACUACAAAUAGUAGCAUUGUAUUACAUCAAGAAAGUGAGGUACUUGAUAUGCAUAUCACCACAUAUAUUCUCCACAUCAUCUUUUAAAUCCAAAAGCUCACAGCACACCUUUGUAAUUCCCUGCAACAUUACCUGAUCAACCAAGAGAAGAAGUAAUCAUGGAAUAAUCUUACUCUUAGGUUAGUACUUUCUCAUGAAUUAAACAUAUGUUAAGCUCUAUGUCUUUUGAUUGCUAACAGAUCAACAGUAAGAUUCGAAAGGACCCAAUUUAUAAGGUCUUAUAAAUUUGAAAUUUGAAAACUUCAUGAGAAAAACUUCAUCUUCCUUCCCAUAAAUAGAUCGAUUUUGAUAAACCAAGCUACAAUUACAGAAAGAGAUGAAAAUCACAAUAUAUUCUCCUUUUACCUUUGUUAGCGUCGGGAGAGAGAUCGUCUCGUUUGUCUGAGCUUGUAGAGUAUGUCAGCUUCGCCGGAGAAUUAGUCAGCGUCGUCAGAUCUCGCCGGAAAAUUCGUCAGGGUCGUCAAGUCUCGCCGGAAUUGGUCAACGUGAAGAAUCUGAAAUUUGAGGAAUUUGAGCUUUGAAAAAAUCGUAGGAAAGAGAAAGAUGUUUUAGGUUUAAUUAGUCAGGGGUACAAUAGUAUUUUGCCUAUUAAAAUUUUAAUGGUAAAAUUGGUUAAGAUAUAAAUGAAAUGUGGUACAAGAAAAGUGGUAUUUUUGACAAAUUCCCAACUAUUUUUUAAAAAAAUUUAAGUAUUUAUUUAUAUAUUUAUUAGAAACCUAAAUUUCACUUUCCAAAAACCUUAUCUCACUCCUUUAUUAUAAAACUUAAGUCUAGAUUAGUUAAUCCUAUGGGUAUAAAUGUCUUUUACCUUUCAUUAAAAGCAAUGGUAAAAGUAAUGGUAAAAGUGGUCAGUGUAAAAUGCGGUGAUAUGAACAUAAGUAUUUGUGAGAUUUUUUUUUUUUUUUUGCAUAACUUACUAAAAAGAAUGCGGAAACUUAACAAUGGGCCCAAAUAAAUGCAACGUGCCUGAACAAAUAAAGAAUGGGCCUUUUUGCUCAGAAACCCAAGUUACGGCAAAAGAGAACAAAAUCAAAAUCUCUUCUCUUCUUCUCAUUCUUCUUCCGUAAGACGCAGACGGAGGAGGAGGGAAAAGAAAGAACCCCUAAAAAGUCUAAAACCCUUGUCGGAAUUAAGAAGCGCUAUGAAGAAGUGUAGUAGCUGAAGACUUUUUUCGAGAUGCGUUUCUUGCUUCGUCUUCCUCAGACCCACCUGCGGAAACUGUCUAGUUCGAUGUCAGUACUCAUGGGUUCGAAGCAGUUCCUCGAGUUUUGUCUUCUUCCUUCUUUUGCAGCUUCUUCUCCUUCUUGCACCCGUGGUGCUCAGAGGCAACUCUCUUCCGUUUCUAGAAGAUUUCGUCCGGUUCUAGCCUCGAGACCCGUGUCCAAAAGCAGCCCUUAUCACCAAAGGCCCAAUGGUGUAUCCCCCUACACUUCAAUCUCCAGAGCCCCAAAUCCUGGUAACGUCCUGAAUGCAAUUGAGUUCUCUGUUUCCAUGUGUAUGCAAUUGAGUUAAUUGCUCCUCUAUUAGUGGUGCUGUUUGAUAAAUUCUCAACGUUUUGUGACUUGUAGUUGAUCCUGAAGAUGGUGCUGUGCAGUCUAGAUUAGCCAACUUGAGGCUUAAAUUGGCUGAUAAUGGAAUUGAUGCUCAGAACUGUCCCUCCGGACAAUACAGUGGUUUGAUAUGUCCCGAGGUAUAAAAAUUUAUCUUUAUGUUGUAUAUACCAAGACUUGAGACUUGAGAGUACUAUAAUGUUGUCCUUUUCUUUUGGCAUUUGAGUAACUUUGAAAGGCUAAGUUUAUAUACUUAACACUGUUCUUUAUGUGCACAUCAGUGUGAAGGUGGUGACUCUGGAGAAAAGAGCUUGUCUCUUUUCAUUGCUGCUGAUUGGUAUGCAAAUCUUCUUUUUCUCACCAAAAUAAGCUUUGGUUUUGAAUUUUCCUUUUUGGUUUAUGAGACUGUAGUUAAUGCUGCCUUUUAAUUCACAGUUCUUCGGCUACAUGGAACUGCUUUCGAGGGAAGUGUGGGUUGAAAGGUGGAGUACGGGUGAGUUGCAACACAAGCAUGACACUCGUUUCUUGAAAUACAAAUUGAUUAUCCUCAUUCCUUUCUGCAGGUGGAUGGUAGGUUUGCAACAUCUGUAGUUCCAAUGGAGAAGGCUGAAAGAAAAGUUACGGUGGAGAGUUUAGAGCUAGAACCUCUCUGCGAUGAGGUUGUUGUCUUCUACAUACUCUUAUUGUUCUUUCUUUCUUUCUUCUCUGUUUACUGCUUUCGUUAGAAAAAAAACAUCUGAAUUUGAUACUUCAUCUCUCUGUAGUUAUAUGAGUUUGAUAAUACCGUAUUGUGUUCUUGGUUAUGCUUCAGAUUGAGGAUUAUUUCGCUGCAAGAAUGAUUUCGGCAGAAACACUCAAGAGAAAUCGGGUUAUGCAGAAAAGAAUAGGUGAUGAGGUACUUACGAAUAGUCUUCUGAAUCUGUUACUUUUCAAGAUUUUCUCUUGUCAGAGUCUUAAGGAGAUGUUACUUGGCUCUCACUGCUCCAUCUUGAUUGCAAUUGUUUCAUUUUGUGCGGCAGAUUGUAAUUGCUUUUACUUAUUGGCAAAGAGGGGAGCUUGUGAGUUGCAAGUACCGUUAUCUAACUAAGAAGUUCUUUCAGGUCCAUGUCAUUCAAAUUCCCUUUCUAAGAUCAGACAUGAACAACUCUCUCUCUCUCUCGAGGUUUCUAUAUCUUACAUGCUUUUUAUGUUUGUGUUUCCUUCAGGAAAAGAAUACACGGAGGAUCUUUUAUGGUCUUGACGACAUUGAGAAAUCAUCUGAAAUCAUUAUAGUACGUCUGCCUUUACCCUCCUAUUGAAUGAUCACAUGGUAUUGAUGAUGGCUAAACUGUCAAUAACUUUAGGUUGAAGGGGAAAUAGACAAACUUGCGAUGGAAGAGGCAGGUUUCCGAAAUUGUGUGUCCGUUCCUGAUGGAGCUCCAGCGUCUGUUUCUUCAAAGGAAACUCCAUCUGAAGAGAAGGUUUGUCUGCUCUCUAGGUUUCAUACCCUUUUUUAUCCAAGUUUUCUUAUUUGAUUCCCUAAGAACUUUACUCUUCUUUAUUAAAAUUUGAAAAUUUGAAAAACCAAACACCACAACCUGCCACCGUAGCUUGACUUCCUUAUCAGACUGAUCCAUAAAAGUAUCAUGGUUUGGAUGAGCUCUGAUGCCUGCUUUAGCAUCUUCAGCAGACGUACGUUUGUGAGGUAAAACGAACCCUUGCACCAGUUUCUUCAUAAUGGAUCGACCUGCAACAGUCUGGUUCUUAAACAGAACCUUUCCUGGCCCCUGUUUCUUCUCCUCUCUCUCUCCAAUCUGGUUAUCUUCGAGUAUCGCUAUGAUCCUGAGCCACAUUAAUAACCCAAUCCAAACUUUCCAGGCCCUACUUCUAGCAAAUCGUUGAUUCCUUUGUCGACACGCCAAGUAAAUCCAAACGAAUCUCCUAUUGAAUAGAAGAAAAAUCAUACCUUUAUUAUCCAAGCCAUCGCCACUUGAAGACCCGAGAUCACAUGUAUCUGUGUAAAUCGUAGAUCGUAAUAUCUUCGAGCCCCUAUCAAUUUCGGUCUUUUUCAUAUUCCCCUGCAACCCAAUCAAUCCUGAUUGAUCCCCUCGGAUCAGAUCAUCGUGAACUUUUCCUUGUUUGCUAAUACCGUAAUCCUGAUGAAGAUUCGGUAUCUCAUGUGCUAUUCCGACCCUCUUUCUUCCCGGAUCCCACUCUCGAAACACCAUCGGAACCCUAGAUCUAAAUCACCUUCGUCAUCGCCACCCAGAAAAAAAGCUUUCAUACGUACUAGUUUGUUUAUAAGGAAUUACAAAUAAUUUAUAAAACCUUAUAAAAUCCAAAAAACUUAUAAAAUAUUAUAGAAUGUUGACAAACUUUAUGAAAUAAAUUUAAAAACUCUUAUAAGAGUAUAUAUAAAAUCAUUUAUAAGUAUUUAUAUAUUAUUCAUAAGGUUUAAAAGUCAUUUAAUUCCGGAUACAAUGUACUAUUCCUCUUCUUGUUCUCUCUUUCGUAUAAGUUUCCUUUCAUGUAAUUCAUUUGGUAACAUGAGUAUUGUCACAAAAUAUAGACCAUUCAAUGUCCACCUAACCAAGCUUGAUUUUUGUAACAAGAAACAAAAUGUGGUAAAAAAGAGUAGUCUUAAUUACUUAGCCGCAAAAUAACAGGACAUUUCAUGGAAAGAGCAAGACUAUGAGUUAAGAGGACUAUAUACGGCUCUCAUCAAAACAUUAGAGAUAAUUCCUUGUUUUCAACAAAAAGUUGUUAUUACUAACAUAAUCUGAGAACAUCAAGGCUUCUUCAUAUCUCACUCUUCUAUAAAAGAAACGAUUGGAACCAAGCUCACUUACAGGUCCAACUAAUCUCUUCAACUAUGCAACUCGUAAGAGAGAUAUACAAUUGUUUUGGUAUAAGAGAUAUUUGAAGAAGAUGAAAGAGAAGAAUGUAUUAAGAAGCCAACUCUGCAACCUUUAUAAAGCCUUAUAAAUAUGUAAUUCUUUGAUGGCACAAACCACGUUCUUGUUCAGAGUCCCUCUUGCUUCUUCAAACAGCUCACAAACCUCGUCGAUCUUCAAAAUCUGAACGCAAGCCAACCAUAUAUUAUUCCUACGCAUCAGCACUCACUUCCAAAAACAAGAUUCAAAAAUAAUAUGCUUUCCUAACUCAACAAACUCAUGCUCCAUCUCCACUGCUUCUUUAGAUAUUAUACACAAAACAAGACAUAGAAAAAAUGAAUCACAUAAAGUACCAAACAGAACGUUACACUACCAAAACACUAACCUUCCACCUUAUAUACUGCACAUACUAAACCUUGCUAGUCAAACUACAAAUAGUAGCAUUGUAUUACAUCAAGAAAGUGAGGUACUUGAUAUGCAUAUCACCACAUAUAUUCUCCACAUCAUCUUUUAAAUCCAAAAGCUCACAGCACACCUUUGUAAUUCCCUGCAACAUUACCUGAUCAACCAAGAGAAGAAGUAAUCAUGGAAUAAUCUUACUCUUAGGUUAGUACUUUCUCAUGAAUUAAACAUAUGUUAAGCUCUAUGUCUUUUGAUUGCUAACAGAUCAACAGUAAGAUUCGAAAGGACCCAAUUUAUAAGGUCUUAUAAAUUUGAAAUUUGAAAACUUCAUGAGAAAAACUUCAUCUUCCUUCCCAUAAAUAGAUCGAUUUUGAUAAACCAAGCUACAAUUACAGAAAGAGAUGAAAAUCACAAUAUAUUCUCCUUUUACCUUUGUUAGCGUCGGGAGAGAGAUCGUCUCGUUUGUCUGAGCUUGUAGAGUAUGUCAGCUUCGCCGGAGAAUUAGUCAGCGUCGUCAGAUCUCGCCGGAAAAUUCGUCAGGGUCGUCAAGUCUCGCCGGAAUUGGUCAACGUGAAGAAUCUGAAAUUUGAGGAAUUUGAGCUUUGAAAAAAUCGUAGGAAAGAGAAAGAUGUUUUAGGUUUAAUUAGUCAGGGGUACAAUAGUAUUUUGCCUAUUAAAAUUUUAAUGGUAAAAUUGGUUAAGAUAUAAAUGAAAUGUGGUACAAGAAAAGUGGUAUUUUUGACAAAUUCCCAACUAUUUUUUAAAAAAAUUUAAGUAUUUAUUUAUAUAUUUAUUAGAAACCUAAAUUUCACUUUCCAAAAACCUUAUCUCACUCCUUUAUUAUAAAACUUAAGUCUAGAUUAGUUAAUCCUAUGGGUAUAAAUGUCUUUUACCUUUCAUUAAAAGCAAUGGUAAAAGUAAUGGUAAAAGUGGUCAGUGUAAAAUGCGGUGAUAUGAACAUAAGUAUUUGUGAGAUUUUUUUUUUUUUUUGCAUAACUUACUAAAAAGAAUGCGGAAACUUAACAAUGGGCCCAAAUAAAUGCAACGUGCCUGAACAAAUAAAGAAUGGGCCUUUUUGCUCAGAAACCCAAGUUACGGCAAAAGAGAACAAAAUCAAAAUCUCUUCUCUUCUUCUCAUUCUUCUUCCGUAAGACGCAGACGGAGGAGGAGGGAAAAGAAAGAACCCCUAAAAAGUCUAAAACCCUUGUCGGAAUUAAGAAGCGCUAUGAAGAAGUGUAGUAGCUGAAGACUUUUUUCGAGAUGCGUUUCUUGCUUCGCCUUCCUCAGACCCACCUGCGGAAACUGUCUAGUUCGAUGUCAGUACUCAUGGGUUCGAAGCAGUUCCUCGAGUUUUGUCUUCUUCCUUCUUUUGCAGCUUCUUCUCCUUCUUGCACCCGUGGUGCUCAGAGGCAACUCUCUUCCGUUUCUAGAAGAUUUCGUCCGGUUCUAGCCUCGAGACCCGUGUCCAAAAGCAGCCCUUAUCACCAAAGGCCCAAUGGUGUAUCCCCCUACACUUCAAUCUCCAGAGCCCCAAAUCCUGGUAACGUCCUGAAUGCAAUUGAGUUCUCUGUUUCCAUGUGUAUGCAAUUGAGUUAAUUGCUCCUCUAUUAGUGGUGCUGUUUGAUAAAUUCUCAACGUUUUGUGACUUGUAGUUGAUCCUGAAGAUGGUGCUGUGCAGUCUAGAUUAGCCAACUUGAGGCUUAAAUUGGCUGAUAAUGGAAUUGAUGCUCAGAACUGUCCCUCCGGACAAUACAGUGGUUUGAUAUGUCCCGAGGUAUAAAAAUUUAUCUUUAUGUUGUAUAUACCAAGACUUGAGACUUGAGAGUACUAUAAUGUUGUCCUUUUCUUUUGGCAUUUGAGUAACUUUGAAAGGCUAAGUUUAUAUACUUAACACUGUUCUUUAUGUGCACAUCAGUGUGAAGGUGGUGACUCUGGAGAAAAGAGCUUGUCUCUUUUCAUUGCUGCUGAUUGGUAUGCAAAUCUUCUUUUUCUCACCAAAAUAAGCUUUGGUUUUGAAUUUUCCUUUUUGGUUUAUGAGACUGUAGUUAAUGCUGCCUUUUAAUUCACAGUUCUUCGGCUACAUGGAACUGCUUUCGAGGGAAGUGUGGGUUGAAAGGUGGAGUACGGGUGAGUUGCAACACAAGCAUGACACUCGUUUCUUGAAAUACAAAUUGAUUAUCCUCAUUCCUUUCUGCAGGUGGAUGGUAGGUUUGCAACAUCUGUAGUUCCAAUGGAGAAGGCUGAAAGAAAAGUUACGGUGGAGAGUUUAGAGCUAGAACCUCUCUGCGAUGAGGUUGUUGUCUUCUACAUACUCUUAUUGUUCUUUCUUUCUUUCUUCUCUGUUUACUGCUUUCGUUAGAAAAAAAACAUCUGAAUUUGAUACUUCAUCUCUCUGUAGUUAUAUGAGUUUGAUAAUACCGUAUUGUGUUCUUGGUUAUGCUUCAGAUUGAGGAUUAUUUCGCUGCAAGAAUGAUUUCGGCAGAAACACUCAAGAGAAAUCGGGUUAUGCAGAAAAGAAUAGGUGAUGAGGUACUUACGAAUAGUCUUCUGAAUCUGUUACUUUUCAAGAUUUUCUCUUGUCAGAGUCUUAAGGAGAUGUUACUUGGCUCUCACUGCUCCAUCUUGAUUGCAAUUGUUUCAUUUUGUGCGGCAGAUUGUAAUUGCUUUUACUUAUUGGCAAAGAGGGGAGCUUGUGAGUUGCAAGUACCGUUAUCUAACUAAGAAGUUCUUUCAGGUCCAUGUCAUUCAAAUUCCCUUUCUAAGAUCAGACAUGAACAACUCUCUCUCUCUCUCGAGGUUUCUAUAUCUUACAUGCUUUUUAUGUUUGUGUUUCCUUCAGGAAAAGAAUACACGGAGGAUCUUUUAUGGUCUUGACGACAUUGAGAAAUCAUCUGAAAUCAUUAUAGUACGUCUGCCUUUACCCUCCUAUUGAAUGAUCACAUGGUAUUGAUGAUGGCUAAACUGUCAAUAACUUUAGGUUGAAGGGGAAAUAGACAAACUUGCGAUGGAAGAGGCAGGUUUCCGAAAUUGUGUGUCCGUUCCUGAUGGAGCUCCAGCGUCUGUUUCUUCAAAGGAAACUCCAUCUGAAGAGAAGGUUUGUCUGCUCUCUAGGUUUCAUACCCUUUUUUAUCCAAGUUUUCUUAUUUGAUUCCCUAAGAACUUUACUCUUCUGUGAAGCUAGGACACCAAGUAUAAGUUCCUAUGGAAUUGCAAUGACUACUUAAAGAAGGUAUGUGUGGCAAAUUAUUAUUUUGUUUGGUUCCAAUAAUCUGGAUAUAAAAGUUUUUUUUAUUAAUCUAUAGGCAUCUCGGAUUGUUAUUGCUACUGAUGGAGAUGGAGCUGGUCAAGCUCUGGCUGAAGAAGUUGCACGGCGUCUGGGGAAAGAAAGAUGUUGGCGUGUCAAAUGGCCGAAGAAAAGUGAAGAUGAGCAUUACAAAGAUGCAAAUGAGGUCAGAUCAGAUGAUAUGUAAACAUUAUGCAAUUGCCUCAUUGGUAUAGUACUAUAGAUGACCGCCAAUGAUUCCUUACUUGGAUGAUUCUCUUCUUAGGUGCUUAUGUCAAUGGGACCUCAUUCACUCAGUGAAGCUGUUCGAAGUGCGGAGCCAUACCCUAUACAAGGAUUGUUCUCCUUCAAAGAUUUCUUUGACGAAAUUGAUGCCUAUUAUCAUCGGACUCAUGGACAUGAGUAUGGUGUUUCAACCGGGUGGAAAACUUUGGACAACUUCUAUAGUGUAAGCGUUGUAAGUCAUGUUUGAAUUAACACUCAUGUAUGAUGAUCAUCAUCUGAUAUCAUAUGCUCAAUUUUCUGCUGAUCAGGUUGUGCCAGGGGAGUUGACGGUUGUGACAGGGGUUCCUAAUUCCGGANNNNNNNNNNNNNNNNNNNNGAAAGAGUGAAUGGAUUGAUGCUCUCUUAUGUAAUCUCAACCAUAGUGUUGGCUGGAAGUUUGCUCUCUGCUCAAUGGAAAAUAAAGUGCGUUUCUUGAUUUAGUCCAUUAAUGGAAAUAAACUGCUUUAUACUAGUUUUCCCUGAUUGGCUCUUGUUCUUGCUGCUUGCAGGUACGAGAUCACGGCAGGAAACUUUUGGAGAAACAUGUAAAGAAACCCUUCUUUGAUGCAGAGUAAGCUUCUCUCCUUUGAAAAUAUCCAAACUUAUCUGAUUCAAGCACAAAAACUUGCGCCUUGUAUUUAACUUUGUUCUUUCUUUGAAGUGGUGUGUAUGCUUAUGUUUCUCCUUAUUUGCUCAACAGUUAUGGGAGAAGUGUCCCACGGAUGAGCGUUGAGGAGUUGGAUGAAGGGAAACUGUGGUUAGAUGACACCUUCACACUCAUAAGGUAAAACCUUCCGCCUUUGUAGAGCUUAUGCAGCUUUUGACAUGUUGUGUUAAAUAAUAUUUUUGGUGUUUUUGUGUUCUCAUGACUAAAUCAGAUGUGAAUUGGAUUCACUUCCAAGUAUCGGAUGGGUUUUGGAACGUGCGAAAGCUGCUGUUCUUCGGCAUGGGAUACGAGGACUUGUCAUAGACCCUUACAAUGAGCUUGAUCAUCAACGUACUCAAAGACAGUGAGUGAUGGAAAAAAAUGUUUUCGCUUCAAUCAGUCUUUUACCUUAUUUCCUUUCUGAAACAUGAGGUAUUUCUACUCGUUUUUGGAUAGGACGGAGACAGAAUAUGUCAGCCAGAUGCUAACGAAGAUAAAACGAUUUGCGCAACAUCACUCCUGUCAUGUCUGGUUUGUUGCACAUCCAAAACAGUUGCAACAGUGGGACGGAGGUCCACCAAACCUUUAUGAUAUUAGCGGGAGUGCACAUUUCAUUAACAAAUGUGACAAUGGGAUUGUUAUUCACAGAAACCGUGAUGAAAAAGCUGGACCUCUUGAUCUAGUGCAGGUAAGUACCAUUCUGUUCUUCUUAAUCGGUAAUUUACUUUUAAAAAGGUGCCUACUUGUCCUUAACAAAGGUAAUUUAACUUCUGUGUGUUUCAGAUUUGUGUGAGGAAAGUGCGAAACAAGGUUGCAGGACAAAUUGGUGAUGCAUACUUGUGUUACGACAGGUACAUUAACUUCUCUCUUUUUGCAAAUAUUAGCUCAUAAGAACUUAAUGGUCUGCUUUGGCACUAGAAACUAGUUGAAGUUGAUCCCAAGCACUCAAGAGUCAUAGAUUGAUUCAGAGGAUCUUGGUUCAGUAAUGAAAUCUUUUUUUUUUUGUUGGACAGGGCAACUGGUUUAUUCUCAGAUUCUCCUAUAACACCUGAGAAGCCUGAGAGGAGAUCAAGCCGACGGCCAUGAUCCGCGGUUUGUUGAGUUGAAAGACCGUCCAACACACAUUGGGAUUUGGGACAUAGUCGAUAACAUUUGUCUGCUAAAUUUUAUCCCUUUUUUUGUGAGAUGCUUUACCUUUUGUAAGAAUUAAAUUUAAUGUGGAUGGUUUACGUGUUCUCUCUUCUUCUGUCUGGUGGGUCUGACUCAAAAACGUGAAUUUAGAUUUGAUUUGUGUACAGCUUGAUGAUCUUUUGUGCUGUUUGUCUCUGUUUCAUCAUCCUUUUCUACCGCCAGAUUUGGCGGGGUGAGUUAGCUGGAACUGUUGACUUCAACAACUUCUCUGUUAUAAUUAUUGCAACUCUUUGCCAACUGCUUCAAUCAUUUCCACUGCUUUUGGCUUACUUCUCUGUAUUUUGCUUAUUGGUACGCACUAAUACUAAUAGUUUAAAAGCAAAUUUACUGCGGCAGUGCGCUUUAAUUGGGAGGUCGGUGUUACGAAAAGAUAAUAAUAAUAAUUGGGAGGUCAAUAAUAUUGGAAAUACAUUUCUCGCGUCAAAGAUAUGACCAAAAGACCAACGUUUAUUGAUACCUAUCGAAAUGCAUGUCUUUCUGUUUUGGUGUAAGAUAGGCAUGUCUUGAAUAUAUCGUUUACUAUAUUUAAUAAGUGUUCACUUUCAAUUUUUUAUUAACUAAAAUUAUUGGUGUUAAUAAUCCUUAGUUUGAUUUAGUUAAAUAUCGUAAACACCACCAUCUUGAUAAGUGUUUACUGAAUAUUUAUAUUUUUUUUAAUAAAUGUUGUAUGAAUGGAAUCCAAUCAAACAAUUAGUAACUAAAAAAAUAAGUUGAUUUAACCCUCCACACAUUUGAAUAGAUAUGUUGGUAUUUGGCUUCAACAGCUUAAAGAGAGCAUCUAUGAGAGACUGAUUAGUUUAAUUAUAUUUGUAAUGAUGAAUCAUUAUUGAGAAAAAUAUUUGACGAGGAAAGCAUAUAACCGUUACAAGGAAAAGAUACUCAGAUACUGAUAGUACAAUCUAAUUAUAUAAGUGUAAAUUAUAGUUAGUGUAACUCCAAAAUUGUAAAAGCAGCAGCAUCAAACAAACACAAGAACACAUUGAAUCUUGGUUUUACAGCAGCAAACAACACACAAAAGAAGUAGGGACUUUGGUUGAAUAAAUCCGUCCGUCGCGCCGAAUAUACUCUGUCGAAUAGUCCACGUGUCGUUCUCUGGGUGGGUGAGCAGAUCAGCAGAGACGACUGUUGCAACGUGCGAAGACGGACGUGGGGGACCCAGCGGAUAUCUUUUGUGUAAAACAUUGGAUGGAAGGAGAGAUAUUAAAAGUUUUUAAUCCAACGGCUACGGUUUCUUUUUGUUAGUAGUAGUAUAAUUUAGUGGUGGACCCUAAUAUUUGACCGUUGCUUAGAGUGGGUGGGGUCCAUCCCUCAAAGCUAGGGCUUCUUCUCUCUCCAUAAAGCUCAAUCCUUUCUCCUCUCUUUGAUGGAAACCCUGAAAGUUAAAACAAUAGAAAGAGGACGAAGCUGAGAGAUUCUGAAGAACUCGAAUCAUCUUAUUAAGGUUAAAGUCGAUUCCUUUUCGAGCUUUGAUUCGGCUGAGCUAGGGUUUUGAGUCUGGUGUUUUUAGGGGUUUAGUAAGAAUCCUGUGUUGAUUUUCAGAUCUCAACAAAUCAAGAAGGAGAAUUGAUUUUGUUAUGUUUAUUAUUAUUAAAGAUUGUUUAUAUCUGAUUGUAGGCAAAAGAUUAAAUAUGACUGCUGAAGUUAAAAAAGAGGAGAAACAAGUAGAGUCUGAGGUUGUUAUUGCCUCAGUGGAGGAAGAGAAAGAUGAGGCCAAGCCUAAGGGUGUGGAGAAGAUCUCCUCUUUCAAGGAAGAGAGCGAUUUCUUCUCUGAUUUGAAAGAGUCUGAGAAAAAGGCUCUGAGCGAUCUCAAGACAAAGCUUGAGGAAGUUAUUAUUGAAAACACUCUCUUCAAGAAGAAGAAAGAAAGUCCUGUCAAGGUGGAGAAGAAGAAGAAGGAACCAGAGGCUGCUGCUACCGAAGAAGAAGCCAAAGCUGAGACUAGUGAACCAGCGGUUGUUGCUGAGGACAGCCCCAAGGAAGAAGCCAAGACUGAUGCUGAUGUGACCCAAGUGGCCAAAGCUGAGACCAUUGAGAAGGAAAGCCCUGAAGAAGAAGUAAAGGCUGAGGCUGUUGUUGAGGAGGAAGUGAAAGCUGAGAAUGUAGAAGAAGAAGAGAAGAAAACCGAGGCUGUUGUUACAGAAGAAGCCAAAGCUGAGAGUGUGGAGCAGGAGGAAGAAGAUGAGAGUGUGGAUAACGAUAUCGAGCUAUGGGGAGUGCCACUGCUUCCAAGCAAAGGUGCUGAAGCCACCGAUGUAAUCCUCUUGAAGUUCUUGAGAGCAAGAGACUUCAAAGUCAACGAAGCCUUUGAGAUGCUCAAGAAAACCCUCAAGUGGAGAAAGGAACACAAGAUUGAUUCAAUCCUUGGAGAAGACUUUUGGGAGGAUCUCGCCUCUGCAGCUUACAUGAACGGUCUUGACCUCGAAUCACGCCCUGUCUGUUACAACAUCUACAGCGUUUUCGAUAACGAGGAGCUUUACCAGAGGAUAUUUGGGUCAGAGCAGAGCAGAGAGAAUCUAUUGAGAUGGAGGUUUCAGCUGAUGGAGAAGGGAAUCCAGAAGCUUGUUCUGAAACCAGGAGGUGUUACUUCUCUUCUCCAGAUCCAUGAUCUCAAAAACUGUCCUGGAUUGUUUAAAAAAGAGCUCUGGGUCGCAAUCAAGAACGCAAUAGUAGCUUUGCAGGACAAUUACCCGGAACUCGUCUCCAGAAACGUGAGCUCAUCAAUCAUCACUCACUGUCUCUCUGUUACCAAAUCUCCUGACUUGUGUAAUUGUUUUUAUUGUUCUGCAGGUGUUCAUAAAUGUUCCCUUCUGGUUCUACGCUGGUAGCACUCUCCUGUCUCCAUUCUUAACACAACGAACAAAGAGCAAGUUUGUUGUGACUCGUCCCGCUUAUGUCACAGAGACUCUUCUCAAGUAAGCAACUAAUACUUAAGCCCCCCAAUAUGAUAUGGAUGUUACUAAUCUUUAUCAUAACAUUUAUGCAUUGUGGCUUGAUGAAGGUACAUUUCAGCAGAUGAGAUCCCGGUUCAGUACGGUGGUUUCAAAGGAGAUGAUGAUACCGAAUUAUUCUCCAACGAAGCUGUAUCUGAAGUUGUUGUUAAGCCUGGAUCAUCUGAAACCAUAGAGAUCCCAGCUCCUGAGGUAAGAAUCUAAAAACCAAACUUCUUUCGUGUUUCAGGAGUUGUAAAAGAUCGAUCUAAUAAUGGUGUCUUUGUUUGUUUGAUAGUCUGAAGGUACAUUGGUUUGGGACAUUGUGGUUUUGGGGUGGGAAGUGAGUUACAAGGAAGAGUUUGUGCCAACAAAUGAAGGAGCUUACACCAUUAUUGUGCAAAAGGGGAAGAAGAUUGGAUCAAACGAAGGACCGUUGAGGAACAGUUUCAAGAACAGUGAGUCUGGUAAGAUUGUUCUGACCGUUGACAAUGUCUCGAGCAAGAAGAAGAAGAGAGUUCUGUACAGGUACAAGACCAAGACGGAAUCCUCUUGCUGAAAUAGAGGCUUUUUCAGCAAAAAGCGAGUCUCCGGAUAUAAAAUAUUCUUUUGCUACAGUUAAAAGUUUGUGUUGUUAUUAUUAUUUUCGAGUGAUACGUCGUAAUGUGAGAAAGAGAUACUGCCAUUGUUUUAUUGAAGUUCAAUCUUUUGCAUCUUGUGUUAUGAGAUUUAUUGAAAUCCUCUUGCUGAAAUAGAGGCUUUUUCAGCAAAUCAUCUAAAGCGAGUCUCUGGAUAUAAAAUAUUUUUUUGCUACAGUUAAAAAUACACUUAUACCCCAAUGGUAAAUUAAUUUAGACAUUAAGGUUUAUAGUUGAGGGGUGGUUAAAAGUUUGUGUUGUUAUUAUUAUUUUCGAGUGAUACGUCGUAAUGUGAGAAAGAGAUACCGCCAUUGUUUUAUUGAAGUUCAAUCUUUUGCAUCUUGUGUUAUGAGAUUUAUUGAAAUCCUCUUGCUGAAAUAGAGGCUUUUUCAGCAAAUCAUCUAAAGCGAGUCUCUGGAUAUAAAAUAUUCUUUUGCUACAGUUAAAAGUUUGUGUUGUUAUUAUUAUUUUCGAGUGAUACGUCGUAAUGUGAGAAAGAGAUACCGCCAUUGUUUUAUUGAAGUUCAAUCUUUUGCAUCUUGUGUUAUGAGAUUUAUUGAAAUCCUCUUGCUGAAAUAGAGGCUUUUUCAGCAAAUCAUCUAAAGCGAGUCUCUGGAUAUAAAAUAUUCUUUUGCUACAGUUAAAAGUUUGUGUUGUUAUUAUUAUUUUCGAGUGAUACGUCGUAAUGUGAGAAAGAGAUACCGCCAUUGUUUUAUUGAAGUUCAAUCUUUUGCAUCUUGUGUUAUGAGAUUUAUUGAAAUCCUCUUGCUGAAAUAGAGGCUUUUUCAGCAAAUCAUCUAAAGCGAGUCUCUGGAUAUAAAAUAUUCUUUUGCUACAGUUAAAAGUUUGUGUUGUUAUUAUUAUUUUCGAGUGAUACGUCGUAAUGUGAGAAAGAGAUACCGCCAUUGUUUUAUUGAAGUUCAAUCUUUUGCAUCUUGUGUUAUGAGAUUUAUUGAAAUCCUCUUGCUGAAAUAGAGGCUUUUUCAGCAAAUCAUCUAAAGCGAGUCUCUGGAUAUAAAAUAUUCUUUUGCUACAGUUAAAAGUUUGUGUUGUUAUUAUUAUUUUCGAGUGAUACGUCGUAAUGUGAGAAAGAGAUACCGCCAUUGUUUUAUUGAAGUUCAAUCUUUUGCAUCUUGUGUUAUGAGAUUUAUUGAAAUCCUCUUGCUGAAAUAGAGGCUUUUUCAGCAAAUCAUCUAAAGCGAGUCUCUGGAUAUAAAAUAUUCUUUUGCUACAGUUAAAAGUUUGUGUUGUUAUUAUUAUUUUCGAGUGAUACGUCGUAAUGUGAGAAAGAGAUACCGCCAUUGUUUUAUUGAAGUUCAAUCUUUUGCAUCUUGUGUUAUGAGAUUUAUUGAAAUCCUCUUGCUGAAAUAGAGGCUUUUUCAGCAAAUCAUCUAAAGCGAGUCUCUGGAUAUAAAAUAUUCUUUUGCUACAGUUAAAAGUUUGUGUUGUUAUUAUUAUUUUCGAGUGAUACGUCGUAAUGUGAGAAAGAGAUACCGCCAUUGUUUUAUUGAAGUUCAAUCUUUUGCAUCUUGUGUUAUGAGAUUUAUUGAAAUCCUCUUGCUGAAAUAGAGGCUUUUUCAGCAAAUCAUCUAAAGCGAGUCUCUGGAUAUAAAAUAUUCUUUUGCUACAGUUAAAAGUUUGUGUUGUUAUUAUUAUUUUCGAGUGAUACGUCGUAAUGUGAGAAAGAGAUACCGCCAUUGUUUUAUUGAAGUUCAAUCUUUUGCAUCUUGUGUUAUGAGAUUUAUUGAAAUCCUCUUGCUGAAAUAGAGGCUUUUUCAGCAAAUCAUCUAAAGCGAGUCUCUGGAUAUAAAAUAUUCUUUUGCUACAGUUAAAAGUUUGUGUUGUUAUUAUUAUUUUUGAGUGAUACGUCGUAAUGUGAGAAAGAGAUACUGCCAUUGUUUUAUUGAAAUUCAAUCUUUUGCAUCUUGUGUUAUGAGAUUUCUUUCUCUUCUUGUUUCUAUUGGAUUCAUUUGUUUUUGGAUUAAAUUAUGAGAAAAUAACUAGAAUAGCACUAAAAAAGUUUGUAAUAAAUAUAGCCUAUAAGAAUAAAAGUGUCCAAAAUAACAUUUAAUAUUUUAUCAAAAGAGAUAAAUAUAUACACUUAUACCCCAAUGGUAAAUUAAUUUAGACAUUAAGGUUUAUAGUUGAGGGGUGGGGUUUAGGGUUUAGAGUUUAGGGUUUAUAGUUUAGAGUUUAGGGGUGGGGUUUAGGGUUUAGGGUUUAGAGUUAAGGGGUGGGGUUUAUGAUUUAGGGUUUAGGGUUUAGGAUUUAGGGUUUAGGAUUUAGGGUUUAGGGUUUAAGGUUUAGGGUUUAGAGUUGGGGAGUGAAGUUUUGGGAUAAGAUUUCAAAUUUUGGAAAAUAAAUAAAAAUUAAAUUAUUCAAAAGAUAAAAUGCUAUUUUGGUCAUUUUAGUUUUUGAAGGCUAUUUUUGUGACAUAAACUUAGAAAUGUGCUAUUUUGGAGAUUUGCCUUUAAAU
rnacentral:lncRNA from 1 species